UGAAGAGGAGGUCCGUGCCCCGACGCGCGGCCGGUGCGUGGAUGAUGAUGAACGAUAUAGCGUACGGUUGCUGAUCCGUGCGCGCGUUUGAUCGCCGCCGCGCCCGCCGCGCGAGCAAGUCGACGACGUUUACCACCUGUUUGUGCUAUCCGACCGAGUGCGUGUUUAGACUUUUGUUGCGAACUAGUUGUCCUAGUAGUACUCUAGCAGUAUGUUUCCGUGGUCGAAGUCGGGAGAGGGUCUGGAUGCUGGAUGUACUAUGGUGUGUUCUUGUGGAUGUCUGCCCGUUUAUGAUGAAUAAAUUGCCAAGUUUGGGCGAAGUGUGCAACUGUUCUUGUGGAUGUCUCUUAUCGCUUCUGAAAUGCAGCUUGCAGAAGAGACUAGGAGUGGGCACGAUCUGAACCCAGGGGCAUCUCUUGUGUUUCUCUACAUAUAUGACUAAAAUUAAAAUUAACUUACUACGAACUUACCAAGUGACUAUGGUACAAGCAUUGAUCCCCUAUGCAAGCAUACGGUUAAUUUGUUAACAAGAGAUCUGAUGUCCAAGAGAUGGACAAUAAUGUAGUGCAACAUAGUGUUUUUAUGAAACGUUUGAAGUGAACAAACAAAGCAAUGUUUUUCCUUCUUUUCUUUUCCAUGAAGGAAAUGCUUGUCGAUGUUUCUAGUGGCUAUAUCGCCUUCGGGGUGAUGCUGUUUCAGGGAAUGACUGGAUAUUCUGUUGUUCUGUUCCGUUAUGAUUUACGGACGCGCGGUUUGUAGAUGGGGAGAUUGUUCAAAGAUCUCAAGUCUUCCCUCAAAAAAUUAAUAUCUUAGUCUCUUUUUUCUUUCCCUUUUUGAAAGGAAGAUCUCUAGUCUAGAAAGGAAAACAAAGGUGUUCCAGGCGAUGACUGAAUGCUCUGCCGCUCUGUUCUGAUGUGAUACACACACAAGCGGUUUGUUGUGAUUUACGAACUCUGCUGCUCUGUUCUGUUGUGAUAUACGUAGACACGCACGAGCGGUUUGUUGUGAUUCACAGACGAGGGCUUUGUGGAUGGGGAAAUUGUUCAAAGAUAUCUCUUGUCAAGGAGAUUGCUCAAAGAUCUCUAGAAAAGGAAGACGAAAGUGGAGCCUGUGACACAAAUAGCAAAAGAUGGGCCAAAUUUAGAGCAAAUGCACCUUAAUUUUCUUCUCUUUCUAGUUCAAGGCUCUAUAAUAUUGAGGCUUAAUUAUCUCUAAUUAAGCUCUCAUGUUUUAUAGUAAGUAAAAUAGAGAAAAAAAUGUACACAACAUAUAUGGCAAUAAAGUAUCUUAUAUUUUUUAAAUAUAUAUCAAGAUUAUUUAAUAUAACUAUAUGAUAUCGAGCUAAUAGCGAGCGAGCAGUGGCUCAACUCGUUUCUCCGUCGAGCUACUUAAAGUGGUCAUAUUAAGCUCAUUUCUUUUAGUUGGCUCAACUCGUUUCUCCGUCGAGCUACUUAAAGUGCUCAUAUUAAGCUCAUUUCUUUUCGAGUCGAUCUGGGGUCAAGCCAAAAAACGAGUUCUUUUCGUGUCGAUCUUGGGUCAAAUCAAUAUACGAGUUGAUCUCGAGCGGCUCAAGCAAGCCAAAAUACGAGUUAAUCUCGAGCGGCUUAUGAACCUCGAGCUUUUCUUGCAGCCCUACUUGUGUCAACGGUUCGGUGCUCAAUAGUGCAUGUGGGCUCUUCUUUGUAGUCAUGACUUGGGAUGUUAUGGUGAUCUUGCUGGCGUGGUGCUUCGAGGAGCCGUCAGCGUCGAUUUGAUUGUGUCCAUGGUCGAGUUGGUGUGGUUGCCCUGGUCUAGAUAUGCCUUGAUGGCGGUGAUCCAGAUUUGGUCGGUGUCAGAGUAUUUUUCGACAGAUCUUGAUAGGUUAUCGCUUGACGAGUAGAUCGGAUGGCAACAUGUACAAAGGUUCAGGCCCUCGGUAGACGAGAUAAUACUCUAAUCCCGUUGCUCGUGUAUAAUGAUUGUACACGGGUUGCAAAAGGUCGAGGGAUUGAGCAAAGCUCUAAGGUUUUUGUCUCCAUUCGACUAGCCUAGCCCCGACUUAUAUGGAUUUCAGGGACUAGGGUUACAAGACCUAAGUCGGUAAGGAGUCCUCGAGAUGUCGGUUUCCUUAUCUUGUAAUCCAAGCCUUCCAUACACAUAUGUUAUAAGGCCAUGGGUCGGUUUGAUUGUCCCGUGAUAUAAUUGACCUUAGGGCCCAGAACGGCCCCAAGGUUAGGCACCCUUUGUUUUGUAACACCGUCAGUCGGCUUGGUGGUGGUGGUGUUGUAGAAUGGGGUGCAACGACCUUUUGCGGCGGCCUUGCUCGGCCCCGACACCCUCACAAGGCUAGGAGCGUUGCGUGGGUUUAGAACUGCGUCUCUAGAUCCAGGCAUGGUGGGCCCUAGGUUGACGGGUUUGGAGAGAGCUCUCUCUAACAAGGUGGCAUUCGGUGGAGGCGUACUCUACCGUCGGUGCUUGGUCCGUGUGGGCGUGUGACCACUCUAUCUUAUGGUGGCACCCUCGCUGCACAUUGUUGCGGCCACCGAAAGGUCUUCAUGAGGGUUUCUCUCUUCGAUGUAGUGGUGACAUUCUGACAACCCACAAGUAUAGGGCUUCGUUUGUAGUCUUUUUCGAUAAGUAAGAGUGUCGAACCCAACAAUGAGCUAAAGGUAGAAUUAAUAUUCUCUCAAGUUCUAUCGACCACCGAUACAACUCCACGCACACCAACAUUUACUUCACCUAAAACAAGAAAUAAAACUAGUCUGCAAGAAAAAAAUAGAAAUACUUUACAAGAUAAUAAAAGUUAGUUGUUUGAUAGAGAGUUUUUGGAGAACAAUGAGAAGGAUUGUCCAUAGGCAAUUGAAUAUAACACGUGGGAUAACUAUCAUAUGCAUCAGGGAGAGGCGUAAGCUAACACACUUUUCGUACUUGGAUCACUUGCACUUAUGACUGGAACUCUAGCAAGCAUCCGCAACUACUAAAAACAUUAAAGUAAAACCCAAUCACAACAUUAAGUGUAAAGUCCCCUUUAAUCUCAUACGCAACAACCCACUUACUCGGGUUUAACCUUCUGUUACUCGCAACCCACUAUAAGCGAAUCAUGAACAUAUUGCAAUACCCUAAAGCGGGAAUUCCCACACGUGUGUGUGGAACGGAGGGCACCAUAGAACAACAACAUACUAACAUACAACUUAUAUCAAUCACACCAUACCAUAAUUAACCCCUAGGACAAAAGGGUCUACUCAAAAAUCAUAGAGGUGCAACACAUCAUUGGAUAAAUAUGUAUAGCAUAAAUCACCAUGUUCAAGUAGAGAUUACAAUGCGAAAAGAGAUGUUACACCGCUACAUGGGGGGAGGGGUUGUUGUUGACGGUGACGAAAUUGUUCAUGUAGAUCGUCGUUAGGAUGGUUCCCCCGCCAGCGCUCCGGCGGCACCGAUAGAGAGGGGGGAGAGAGCCUUCCUCCUUCUUCUUCUUCUUCUUGCUUGGCCUUCCCCUAUAUGGGAGAAGGAUUUCCUUCUCCGUUCCUCCGCCUCCCCGGCCCCCGAGCGGCGGGAUCCCCUCCACAUUGGAUCUCUCUCUCUCUCUUUUCUUCUCUGUUUCGCGUCUCUAUUUUCUGGCCGAACACCGUUUCUUAAAUAUCAGGAGAUCCGCAACUCCGAUCGGGCUGAAAUUUUAACACGAUUUUUCCAGAUAUUAGAUUCCUUGCGCCCGAAGGACAUCCCCAACCAACCUCCGAGGAAGCCACAAGUUCUCCUGGCGCGCCCUAGGGGAGGUUCCCCUUGAUCUUGUGAAGCCCAUCGGCCCACCUGGCAUUGAAUCUGAAGGAAAUAUGCCCUAGAGGCAAUAAUAAUGUUGUUAUUUAUAUUUCCUUAUAUCAUGAUAAAUGUUUAUUAUUCAUGCUAGAAUUGUAUUAACCGGAAACUUAGUACAUGUGUGAAUACAUAGACAAAUAGAGAGUCCCUAGUAUGCCUCUACUUGACUAGCUCGUUAAUCAAAGAUGGUUAAGUUUCCUAGCCAUAGACAUGUGUUGUCAUUUGAUGAACGGGAUCACAUCAUUAGAGAAUGAUGUGAUGGACAAGAUCCAUCCUUUAGCUUAGCACUAUGAUCGUUUAGUUUAUUGCUAUGUCUUUCUUCAUGACUUAUACAUGUUUCUAUGACUAUGAGAUUAUGCAACUCCCGAAUACCGAAGGAACACUUAGUGUGCUAUCAAACGUCACAACGUAACUGGGUGAUUAUAAAGAUGCUCUAUAGGUGUCUCUGAUUGUGUUUGUUGAGUUGGCAUAGAUCGAGAUCAGGAUUUUUCACUCCGUGUAUCGGAGAGGUAUCUCUGGGCCCUCUCGGUAAUGCACAUCACUAUGAGCCUUGCAAGCAAUGUGACUAAUGAGUUAGUUACGGGAUGAUGCAUUACGGAACGAGUAAAGAGACUUGCCGGUAACGAGAUUGAACUAGGUAUGAUGAUACCGACGAUCGAAUCUCGGGCAAGUAACAUACCGAUGACAAAGGGAACAACGUAUGUUGUUGUGCGGUUUGACCGAUAAAGAUCUUCGUAGAAUAUGUGGGAGCCAAUAUGAGCAUCCAGGUUCCGCUAUUGGCUAUUGAUCGGAGAUAUGUCUCGGUCAUGUCUACAUAGUUCUCGAACCCGUAGGGUCCGCACGCUUAACAUUCGAUGACGAUUUGUAUUAUGAGUUAUGUGAUUUGAUGACCGAAGUUUGUUCAGAGUCCCGGAUGAGAUCACGGACAUGACGAGGAGUCUCGAAAUGUUCGAGAGGUAAAUAUUCAUAUAUUGGAAGGUUAUAUUCGGACACCGGAAUGGUUUCGGGAAGUAUCGGAUAAGUUUCGGAGUACCGGGAGGUUACCGGAACCCCCCGGGGAAGUAAUGGGCCUUAUUGGGCCUUAGUGGAAAGGAGAGAAGGGCCACAAGGGGAGGCAGCGCCCGCCCCCAUGGGCUGGUCCGAAUUGGACAAGGAGGGCCCCCUCUUUCCUUCUCCCCUCCUCCUCCUUCCCUCUCUCCCCCUUGUUGGAAUAGGAAAGGGGGGGCCGAAUCCUACUUGGACCGGGAGUCCAAGUAGGACUCCCCCCCUUGGCGCGCCCCCCCUUGGGCCGGCCUGCUCUCCUCCCCCUUUAUAUACAUUGGAGGGGAGCACCCCAAAGGCACACCAAGUCUUCUCUUAGCCGUGUGUGGUGCCCCCCUCCACAGUUACACACCUCGGUCAUAUCGUCGUAGUGCUUAGGCGAAGCCCAGCGUCGGUAACUUCAUCAUCACCGUCGCCACACAGUCGUGCUGACGAAACUCUCCCUCGGCCUCAACUGGAUCAAGAGUAUGAGGGACGUCAUCGAGCUGACCGUGUGCUGAACACGGAGGUGCCGUAAGUUCGGUUCUUGGAUCGGUUGGAUCGUGAAGACGUUCGACUACAUCAACCGCGUUACUAAACGCUUCCGCUUUCGGUCUACGAGGGUACGUGGACACACUCUCCCCGCUCGUUGCUAUGCUUCUCCUAGAUAGAUCUUGCGUGACCGUAGGAAUUUUUUUGAAAUACUACGUUCCCCAACAGUGGCAUCCGAGCCAGGUCUAUGAGUAGAUGUUAUAUGCACGAGUAGAACACAAAGAGUUGUGGGUGAUAAUAGUCAUACUACUUACCAGCAAUGUCUUACUUUGGUUCGGCGGUAUUGUUGGAUGAAGCGGCCCGGACCGACAUUACAUGACCGCGUUCAUGAGACUGGUUCUACCGACGUGCUUCGCACAUAGGUGGCUAGCGGGUGUCAGUUUCUUCAACUUUAGUUGAAUCGAGUUUGACUACGCCCAGUCCUUGUUGAAGGUUAAAACAUCACACUUGACAAAAAAUCGUUGUGGUUUUGAUGCGUAGGUAAGAACGGUUCUUGCUAGAAGCCCGUAGCAGCCACGUAAAACUUGCAACAACAAAGUAGAGGACGUCUAACUUGUUUUUGCAGGGCAUGUUGUGAUGUGAUAUGGUCAAGACGUGAUGAGAUAUAAAUUAUUGUAUGAGAUGAUCAUGUUUUGUAACCGUUAUCGGCAACUGGCAGGAGCCUUAUGGUUGUCGCUUUAUUGUAUGAAAUGCAAUCACCAUUUAAUUUCUUUACUUUAUCACUAAGCGGUAGCGAUAGUCGUAGAAGCAAUAGUUGGCGAGACGACAACGAUGCUACGAUGGAGAUCAAGGUGUCAAGCCGGUGACGAUGGAGAUCAUGACGAUGCUUUGGAGAUGGAGAUCAAAGGCACAAGAUGAUGAUGGCCAUAUCAUGUCACAUAUUAUGAUUGCAUGUGAUGUUUAUCCUUUGUGCAUCUUAUUUUGCUUAGUACGGCAGUAGCAUUAUAAGAUGAUCCCUCACUAAAUUUCAAGGUAUAAGUGUUCUCCCUGAGUAUGCAUGAUGUCUACUACACAAUUUUAUUCUUGUAGACACGUGUUGGGCCUCCAAGCGCAGAGUUUUGUAGGACAGUAGCAAGUUUCCCUCAAGUGGAUGACCUAAGGUUUAUCAAUCUGUGGGAGGUGUAGGAUGAAGAGGGUCUCUCUCAAGCGACCCUCCAACCAAAUACAAGAAAUCUCUUGUGUCCCCAACACACCCAAUACAAUGGCAAAUUGUAUAGGUGCACUAGUUCGGCGAAGAGAUGGUGAUGAAAGUGUAAUAUGGAUGGUAGAAAUAUAUUUUUAUAAUCAGAAUAAAUAAAAACAGAAAGGUAGUAAAUAGUAAAUGGGCACAAAAACGGUAUUGCAAUGCUUGAAAACAAGGCCAAGGGUCCGUACUUUCACUAGUGCAACCUCUCAACAAUGCUAACAUAGUUGGAUCAUAUGAUUAUCCCUAAAAGUGCAAUAAAGAGUCACUCCCGAGUUCCUAUUAGCGGAGAACAAAAGAUAGGAUUUGUUUGUAGGGUACGAAACCACCUCAAAGCUAUUCUUUCCGAUCAAUCUAUCCUAGAGUUCGUACUAAAAUAAUGCAAGCUAUUCUUUCCGAUCUAUCUAAUCAAGAGUUCGUACUAAGAUAACACUAAAGCAAAUUCAUAUUCAUAAUACUCAAUCCACACAAAGAACUACAAAGAGACCCCAAAGUUUCUAUCGGAGAAAAUAUAAUAAGAACGUGCAUCAACCCCUAUGCAUAUAUUACCCCAAUAUCACCGCGGGAAUCCGCAAGUUGAAUGCCAAGAUACAUAUCAAGUGAAUCAAUAUGAUACCCCAUUUGUCACCUCAAGUAUUCAUACCGCAAGACAUACAUCAUGUGUUCUCAUCUCUGAAUAUUCAAUCCGACAAUACAAAACUUCAAAGGGUAAAGACUCAAUUCAUCACAACAAGAGUAUAGCGGGGAGAAACAUCAUAUGGUCCAUCUAUAUUAACAAAGACCAUGACAUAGAUCACUAGAGAGAGAGAUUAAACACAUAGCUACUGGUACAAACCCUCAGCCCUGAGGGUGGACUACUCCCUCCUCGUCGUGGUGGCCGCCGGGAUGAUGAAGAUGGCCACCGGAAAUGAUUGCCCCCUCCGGAAGGGUGCCGGAACGGGGUCUAGAUUGGUUUUCGUGGAUACAGAGACCUUGCGGCGGCGGAACUUCUGAUCUAGGGUAACCCGAAGGGUUUCAGAAUAUUUAGGAAUUUAUAGUGCAAAGAGGGGGUGCGGGAGGCCACCGAGGUGGGCACAACCCACCUGGGCGCACCAGGGGGCCUGGCGCGCCCUGGUGGGUUGUGCCCCCCUCGGGGCACCCCCCAGGUGCAGCUCUGGCCCAAAAAAAAUCUCCAAAAAGUUUCACGUUGUUUGGACUCCGUUUGAUAUUGAUUUCCUGCGAUGUAAGAAACAAGCAAAAAACAACAACUGGCACUGGGCACUGGGUCAAUAGGUUAGUCCCAAAAAAUGGUAUAAAGUUGUUAUAAAAUGGUUGUAAAACAUCCAAGAAUAAUAAAAUAACAGCAUGAAUACUUCAUAAAUUAUAGAUACGUUGGAGACGUAUCAGCAUCCCCAAGCUUAAUUCCUACUCGUCCUCGAGUAGGUAAAUGAUAAAAGAAAUAAUUUAUGAAGUGUGAAUGCUAGCAAAGUGCACAAGUUUGAUUAAUGAUAAUUUCAAUCACUUUUCCUAGCAUCAUAACAGCAAUUCUUUCUCAUAAAAUUUCUCAUGUUGUAGUGGUAACCAAUUCACAUGUUAAGGUUUAAACAAUGAACUCUCUUGAAACCCAACAAUCUAUGUUCUUAGUCACCAAGCAAUUGCAAUUGAACUUAUUCAAUGGAGUCUAAGUAAGAGCUCCACAUACUCAACCAUCAUAUAGUCUUCCAUGAUUGCUAACACUCACCGCAUACACAUGAGCAAAACGUUUCAACCGGACACAAAGAAAGAUAGGGGCUUAUGAUUUCGCCUCCCAACGUAUUCACCUCAAGGGUUAUGUCAACAAUAAUAACUCAUGCUACCCACAUUCAACUAGACAUAUGUGCCUAGAUCUUUCCUCACUUGCCAAAGGAGAAAAAUAAAAAAGGAAUAGAGAGAAAAACUUUGACUCUUUGCAUAAAAGUAAAUACUGAAAAGUAAAAGAUAGGCCCUUCGCAGAGGGAAGCAGAGGUUACCAUGCGCUUAUUUAUUUGUAUGCUCAAUCCCUUAGUGCAAAAGAAUAUCACGUUGUAUUGCCCCUUAAGAUGUCAACCUUUAUUAUGUAGUCUGUCACUUUUAUUAUUUGCCAUCCAAGUUCGUACAACGCUCAAUUUUCUCUUACACUAAAUGAUCUAACACUUUUAGAAGCAAUUUUUAUUGCCUUUUUGCACCGAUGACAACUUACUUGAAGGAUCUUGCUCAAUCCUUAGGUAGGUAUGGUGGACUCUUGAAAAUAAGAUUUGGGUUUAAGGGAUUUUGGAUGCACAAGUAGUAUCUCUACUUGGUGCGGAAUUUUUGGCUAGCAAAGAUGGGGGGCAAGCACCACAUGUUAAAGGAUCUAUGACAAUAUGACUUCUAUGUGAAUAUGAGCAAACAUAAAUCAUUACGUUGUCUUCCUUGUCCAACGUCAACAAUUUUGGCAUAUAAUAUUUUGAUGGGGGCUCACAAUCACAAAAGAUUUCCACGAUAGUGUAUUUGCAUGUGAAAGUUCUCUUCCUUAUACUAAUUAUUCGUGAAUUGCUUGUAUGACCAAUAUUGUGAUUGUCAAGCCUCAAAAGAUUUCACUUUCUAAACCCAAUGUGAAGCUACCACUAGACAUGAUAUGAUUUCAACUUCAUGACAUUCAAUUUAUUCAACAAUUUACUCAUAGGAUAUAAGUGAAGCACAAGAGUAAAUGACAAACUACUCCAAAAAGAUAUAAGUGAAGAUCAUGCGAGUAGUUAAGUAAAUAGAUAGCUAUGUGAGGACUCUCCCUUAUUUAAAAGUUUCAGGUCUAAGUAUUUUAUUAAAAAAGCAAGCAAAAACAAAAUAAAAUGACAUUCCAAGAAUAGCACACAUCAUGUGAAGAAGCAAAAACUUAGGUUCAACCGAUACUAACCGAUAAUUGUUGAAGAAGAAAGGUGGAAUGCCUACCGGGGCAUCCCCAAGCUUAGAUGCUUGAGACUUCUUGAAAUAUUAUCUUGGGGUGCCUUGGGCAUCCCCAAGCUUGAGCUUUUGUGUCUCCUUAAUUCCUCUCAUAUCACGGUUUUCCUAAAUCUCAAAAACUUCAUCCACACAAAACUCAACAAGAACUCGUGAGAUAAGUUAGGAUAAACCAAUGCAAAAACCUUAUCAUUCUCUACUGUAGCAAAUCACUAAAAUUAUUAUUCAACAUUUCAUACUAAAUGCCUCUGCAUAUUUAGUAGUCCUAUCCUCAAAUAGAAUCAUUAAACAAGCAAACAUAUGCAAACAAUGCAAACAAAACAGCAAUCUGCCAAAACAGUACAGUCUGUAAAGAUUGCAAGAGUUUCAAUACUUUCCUAACUCCAAAAAUAAUGAAAAUUUACCACACUAUAUAAAAUUUAUCAGAGCUUAUUUUGCAAAAAGUUUCAGCAUUUUACCACAUUCUGACUUUUCUGGGGAUUUUUUGCAACACUGAUAAACUUUCUGUUUUCAAACAACAACAUGUAGACUUGUAAAAUAAGCAUGACAAAGGCUAUACUUGACAUUUCUAUUGAAAAGAAAGAUGCAAAAUGCUACCUCUUGAGCAUGCGUUGGUUUUCCCUUGAAGAGGAAAGGGUGAUGCAGCAAAGUAGCAUAAGUAUUUCCCUCAGUUUUUGAGAACCAAGGUAUCAAUCCAGUAGGAGACUACACGCAAGUCUCUAUUACCUGCACAAACAAUCAAGAACCUUGUGAUACGUCUCCAUCGUAUCUACUUUUCCAAACACUUUUGCCCUUGUUUUGGACUCUAACUUGUAUGAUUUGAAUGGAACUAACCAGGACCGACGCUGUUUUCAGCAGAAUUGCCAUGGUGUUAUUUUUGUGCAGAAAUAAAAGUUCUCGAAAUGACCUGAAACUUCACGGAGAAUUUUUCGGAAUUUAUAAAAAAUACUAGCGAAAGAAUCAAGAACAGGGGGCCCACACCCUGUCCACGAGGGUGGCUGCGCCUGCCCCCUGGGCGCGCCCCCUGCCUCGUGGGCCCCCUGGUGCUCCACCGACCUCAACUCCAUCUCUAUAUAUUCACGUUCGGGGAGAAAAAUCAGAGAGAAGGAUUCAUCGCGUUUUACGAUAUGGAGCCGCCGCCAAGCCCUAAUCUCUCUCGGGAGGGCUGAUCUGGAGUCCGUUCGGGGCUCCGGAGAGGGGAAUCCAUCGCCGUCGUCAUCAUCCGCCUUCCUCCAUCACCAAUUUCAUGAUGCUCACCGCCGUGCGUGAGUAAUUCCAUCAUAGGCUUGCUGGACGGUGAUGGGUUGGAUGAGAUUUAUCAUGUAAUUGAGUUAGUUUUGUUAGGGUUUGAUCCCUAGUAUCCAUUAUGUUCUGAGAUUGAUGUUGCUAUGACUUUGCUAUGCUUAAUGCUUGUCACUAGGGCCCGAGUGCCAUGAUUUCAGAUCUGAACCUAUUAUGUUUUCAUGAAUAUAUGCGAGUUCUUGAUCCUAUCUUGCAAGUCAGUAGUCACCUACUAUGUCUUAUGAUCCGGCAACCCCGAAGUGACAAUAAUCGGGACCACUCCCGGUGAUGACCGUAGUUUGAGAAGUUCGUGUAUUCACUAAGUGUUAAUGCUUUGGUCCGGUACUCUAUUAAAAGGAGGCCUUAAUAUCCCUUAGUUUCCAAUAGGACCCCGCUACCAUGGGAGGGUAGGACAAAAGAUGUCAUGCAAGUUCUUUUCCACAAGCACGUAUGACUAUACUCGGAAUACUUGCCUACAUUAUAUUGAUGAACUGGAGCUAGUUCUGUGUCACCCUAUGUUAUAACUAUUGCAUGAAGAAUCGCAUCCGACAUAAUUAUCCAUCACUGAUCCAAUGCCUACGAGCUUUUCACAUAUUGAUCUUUGCUUAGUUACUUUACCGUUGCCACUGUUACAAUUAUUACAAAACCGCUACUGUUACUUUUGCCACCGUUACCGUCACUUCCAUACUACUUUUCUACUAAAUACUUUGCUGCAGAUAUUAAGUUAUCCAGGUGUGGUUGAAUUGACAACUCAACUGCUAAUACUUGAGAAUAUUCUUUGGCUCCCCUUGUGUCAAAUCAAUAAAUUUGGGUUGAAUAGUCUACCCUCGAAAAUUGUUGCGAUCCCCUAUACUUGUGGGUUAUCAAGACUAUUUUCUGGCGCCGUUGCCGGGGAGCAUAGCUCUAUUCUUUGAGUCACUUGGGAUUUAUAUCUGCUGGUCACUAUGAGGAACUUGAAAGACGAAAAAACCAAGAUUUAUCCCUCAACUACAAGGGGAGGUAAGGAACUGCCAUCCAGCUCUGCACUUGAUUCUCCUUCUAUUUUGAGUAAACUUGUGACACCUAAACCUGCUUCUGCUAUUAAUUCUGAUAUGUCGCAUGUUAUUGAUGAUGCCACUUCUGCUAUGCAUGAUGCUUUUGGUGAAACUACUUCUAUGCUUGAUACUACUGUGCCAUGAACAACUUGCUAGGGCUAGAGAGAAUGAAAUUACUGAAACUGAUAAUAUUGAUGAAAGUGAUGAUGAAGAUUCUCCCCCUAGAUAUGAAUUGCCUGUUGUGCCUGAGGGUUAUGUUAUGGACGAAGAAACUGCUAGAGAUUUUCUUGCUUGCAAUGAUAGAUAUGAUCUUAAGAAAUUAUUAGCUAAGCUGAAAGAAAAAUCUUUGAAUGCUAGAAUGAAAUAUGACCCUGCUUUUGCUACUUCACCUAUCUGUAUUUCUGAUAAGGAUUAUGAUUUCUCUGUCGACCCUGAGAUAAUUACUUUGGUUGAAUCUGAUCCUUUUUAUAGCUAUGAAUCUGAAACUGUUGUGGCACAUCUUACUAAAUUAAAUGAUAUGGCCACCCUAUUCACUAAUGAUGAGAAAACUCGUUACUACUAUAUCCUUAAAUUAUUUCCGUUCUCAUUAAAGGGUGAUGCUAAAACAUGGUUUAAUUCUCUUGAUCCUGGUUGUGUGCGUAGUCCCCAGGAUAUGAUUUAUUACUUCUCUGCUAAAUAUUUCCCGGCUCAUAAGAAACAAGCUGCUUUAAGGGAAAUAUAUAAUUUUGUGCAAAUUGAAGAAGAGAGUCUCCCACAAGCUUGGGGGAGGCUUCUCCAAUUACUUAAUGCUUUGCCUGAUCAUCCUCUCAAGAAAAUUGAAAUACUUGAUAUCUUUUAUAAUGGACUAACCGAUGCUUCCAGAGACCACCUGGAUAGUUGUGCUGGUUGUGUUUUCAGGGAAAGAACUGUUGAUCAAGCUGAAUUGCUAUUGAAUAAUAUGUUGACUAAUGAAAAUAAUUGGACACUUCCUAAACCAACUCCUAAGCCAACUCCGAAGAAAAGGGGUAUUCUAUUUCUCAGUCCUGAAUAUGCAAGAGGCAAAGAAAUCUAUGAAAGAAAAGGGUAUUAAAGCUGAAGAUGUUAAGAGUUUACCACCUAUUAAAGAAAUACAUGGUCUUGAUAACCCGACACAGGUAGUAAAGGUAAAUUCUCUCUAUAGAUAUGAUAAAGUUGAAAUACCGUCUACUAAGUUUGCUAGCCAAUGCUUAGAUGAGUUUGAUAAUUUUAUUGUUAAACAAGAAAACUUCAAUGCUUAUGUUGGUAGACAAUUGAAACGUAAUGCUUAUAUGAUUGAACACUUGAGUGAUUAUAUGUCUAGAGUUAAAGAUGAACUUAAACUCAUUAGUAAACAUGCUUCUAUAGUUACCACUCAAGUAGAGCAAGUGCUUAAAGCUCAGAAUGAUUUGCUCAAUUAAUUAAAUAAUAAGAAAAAUGAUAAUGCUGUUAGAGUUAUGACUAGAGGGGGUAAAAUGACUCAGGAACCUUUGUAUCCUGAGGGCCACCCUAAGAGAAUUGAGCAAGAUUCUCAGAGAACUAAUGUUGAUGCACCUAGUCCUUCUAAGAAGAAGAAAAAGAAAAAUGAUAGGACUUUGCAUGCUUCUAGUGAACCUGUUGUAGACACACCUGAGAAUCCCAAUGAUAUUUCUAUCUCUGAUGCGGAAACACAAUCUGGUAAUAAACAUGAACCUAGUGAUAAUGUUAAUGAUGAUGUUCAUGUUGAUGCUCAACCUAGCAAUAACAAUGAUGUAGAGAUUGAACCUGCUGUUGAUCUUGAUAACCCACAAUCAAAGAAUCAACGUUAUGAUAAGAGAGACUUCGUUGCUAGGAAGCAUGGUAAAGAACGAGAACCAUGGGUUAGAAACCCAUGCCCUUUCCUCCUAAACCAUCCAAGAAAAAGGAUGAUGAGGAUUUUGAGUGCUUUGCUGAAAUGAUUAGACCUAUCUUUUUGCGUAUGCGUUUGACUGAUAUGCUUAAAAUGAACCCUUAUUCUAAGUAUAUGAAAGAUAUUGUUACAAAUAAAAGAAAGAUGCCGGAAGCUAAAAUAUCCACCAUGCUUGCUAAUUAUACUUUUAAAGGUGGAAUACCUAAGAAACUUGGAGAUCCAGGAGUACCAAAUAUACCAUGCUCCAUUAAAAGAAACUAUGUUAAAACUGCUUUAUGUGAUCUUGGAGCUGGUGUUAGUGUUAUGCCUCUCUCUUUAUAUCGUAGAAUUGAUCUGAAUAAGUUUACACCUACUGAAAUAUCUUUGCAAAUGGCCGAUAAAUCAACUGCUAUACAUGUCGGUAUUUGUGAGGAUGUGCCUGUCAUGGUUGCAAACGUUGCUAUCUUAAUGGACUUUGUAAUUCUUGACAUUCCCGAGGACGAUAGUAUGUCGAUUAUCCUUGGUAGACCCUUUUUGAAUACUGCAAGGGCUGUUAUUGAUUGCGACAAAGGCAAUGUCACUUUUCAUGUUAAUGGUAAUGAGCAUACAGUACACUUUCCGAGGAAACAACCUCAAGUCCACAGUAUCAAUUCUAUUGGAAAAAUGCCAACGAUUACUAGUGGAGGUUUUGAAUUUCCUCUUCUUACUGUCAAGAAGAAAUAUGAUAUUCUUAUUGUUGGGGACGUGCAUAUCCCCGUUGAGGUAACCUAAUGCUAUUCAAAAAUUCUCUGGUUUCAUGCAAUUCGGAAUGAGUUUGUUAACAAGACUUGAUCAACCUUGUUAGUGGAUUCCUUUUGAUGAGCAUGAGAUGGAUGAAGUUAGAAAGCACAACCUUCUGUACCCUCCUUUUACUUUCUGUUAUUUAGAUUAAAUAAAGCAAAAAUAGUAUUUUUGUCUGUUUUCUGAAUUAUCCUUGCAAUAAAAAAAUACCCCAAAAAUAAAAGUUCUCCAAAUGCCCCGAAAAUGAAAUAUGAUUUUUUGUAGAAUAUUUAAGAAUAUCUGGCACUGAGAACACACCAGGGGGAGCCACCACCUGGCCACGAGGGUCCAGGGCGCGCCCUACCCCCUGGGCACGCCCCUGCCUCGUGGGCCCCACGUGGCCCCCUCCACUUAUUCCAGCAGCCACACACUUCGUCUUCCUCCAGAAAAAAAUCACCACACAGCUCAAACUCGUGUUCUAGCUCGUCUUGCUGCGAUUUUUGAUCUCCUUGCUCAAAGCUCCAUUCACAAAACUACUUUGGGGGAUUGUUCUUCGGUAUGUGACUCCUCCAAUGGUCCAAUUAGUUUUUGUUCUAGUGCUUUAUUCAUUGCAAAUUUUUGCUGCUUAGGUGACCCUGUUCUUGAGCUUGCAUGUCAAAUUUAUUUUUCCCAAGUAGUUUUAAUGCAUGAUAUAGUCUCUAGGCACUUGUGGGAGUAGUUGCUAUCAAUAUUGCUGAGUUUGGUUCACUUUUAUUUUGAGUCACUAAAAAAUUUAGAAAUUUUUGAGAAGAAGAAAUGUGUUUUGGAAAAUGUACCAAGGUGGUUCUUCAAGGAAUUGCCUCCUACUUAUUUAGAUUAUAAUGCUAUGGGUCGUCAUCAGUUUGUUGAGAGGAAUGAACAGUUCCUCCAACACCGACUAAUCUUUGACAGACGCCGCACUAUCCAUGUUGCUCUCCCCGCUCCUGCUUUCUUUGACUUUCAGGCAAAAAGGAGAUAUGUUAUAACCAGGGAGGAGGCGAACGAGUACGAGAGGAGGACGGAGGCAUCUCUCCUCCAAGCUGCAACUCUUGAGGCAGUAGCUGCUGCAUCUCAGUACGACCCUACUUACAACUUCGGAUAUCCGCCAGGCCAUCCAUGGGCAUGGACCAACUUAGGCCAAAAGCCUAAGCUUGGGGGAGUACGUAUUUCUCACCGACAUUACAUUCAUGUUGACACACUCAUGCCAGUUGUCGGUGCUCAUACUUUUUCAUUGUACUAUCCAUGCUAGUUUAUUUUAUUUUUAAGUUUUCUUCUUGUGUGUUUGAAUAACCUUAAGAAAACAAGAAAAUCUAGUUGUAGCUUUUAGUUAGUUUACUUUCCAUGCCUGUAGUAGUAAUAAUUAAAAGAAAACCCAAAAAGAUUUCUUGUUCUUCUUUUGCUUGUUGGGAGAUUUCCCGUGUAAAUAGUUUUAUUUCUUUUCUUUUCUUUGGGGGUAGAGAUGAGAAGACCAUAAUUAAAAUGUUGAAGUGGCUCUUAUAUGCAUUAUUGUUGAUUUAACAAAGAGCCCAUAUUACCUUGUCUUCUCCCUUGUAUUAAAUGCUUGCAUAUUCCAGCUUAGUCCAAUGCACAUGCACUAUUAUUAUUAUCCACACAGUUCGGUUGUGCAAGUGAAAGGCAAUAAUGACGAUAUGAUGGACUGAUUGAGAUGAGAGAAGCUGGUAUGAACUCGACCUCUCUUGUUUUUGUAAAUAUGAUUAGUUCAUCGUUCUUGAUUCAGCCUAUUAUGAAUGAAACAUGUUUGUAAUGACAGUUAGAUAUUAUAGUUGCUCAUGCCAUGCUUGAUUAGCUAGGAGUUUAUAAUGGUUUACCUUGCGUGCCAACAUGCUAUUAAAAUGGUUGUGAUGUGGCAUGAUAGGGUGGUAUCCUCCUUUGAAUGAUUCAAGUGGCUUGACUUGGCACAUGUUCACGCAUGCAGUUGAAACAAAAUCAACAUAGCCUCCACGAUAUUUAUGUUCAUGGUGAAUUACAUCCUACUCAUGCUUGCACUCAGUGUUGAUUAAUUUUAAUGCAUGUUCAUGACUGUUGUCGCUCUCUAGUUGGUCGCUUCCCAGUCUUUUUCUAGCCUUCACUUGUACUAAGUGGGAAUACUGCUUGUGCAUCCACUUCCAUAAACCCCAAAGUUAUUCCAUAUGAGUCCACCAUACCUUCCUAUAUGCGGUAUCUACUUGCCGUUCCAAGUAAAUUUGUAUGUGCCAAACUCUAAACCUUCAAAUGAAAUUCUGUUUUGUAUGCUCGAAUAGCUCAUGUAUCAACUAGGGCUGUCUGUAUCUUCCAUGCUAGGCGGGUUAUUCUCAAGAGUGGACUCCGCUCCUCAUUCAUGAAAAAAUGGCUGGUCACCGGGAUGCUCAGUCCCAUGCUCAAACCAAAUCAAAAUAAUUGCAAACAAAACUCCCCCAGGAUUGUUGUUAGUUGGAGGCACCCUUUGUUUCAGGCAAGCCAUGGAUUGAUGCUUGUUGGUGGAGGGGGAGUAUAAACUUUACCAUUCUGCUUGGGAACCGCCUAUAAUGUGUGUAGCAUGGAAGAUAUCGAGAUCUCUCGGUUGUUAUGUUGAGAAUGAAAGUAUGCCGCUCAAAAUAUUAUUUAUCUCUAUUUCAAAAUCGAGCUCUGGCACCUCUACAAAUCCCUGCUUCCCUCUGCGAAGGGCCUAUCUAUUUACUUUUAUGUUGAGUCAUCAUCCUCUUAUUAAAAAGCACCAGCUGGAGAGCACCGCUGUCAUUUGCAUCCAUUAGCAUUAAUUUAUGUUGAGUAUGACCAUGACUGGAUCUCUUUUACCAUGAAUUACAAUGUUUAGUCAGUCCUUGAUCUUCAGAGGUGCUCUGCAUUUAUGUUUUGCGAUCUCAGAAAGGGCUAGCGAGAUACCAUCUUGUUAUAUCAUAUUAUGAUUGUUUUGAGAAAGUGUUGUCAUACAAGAUUUACUAUUAUUGCUCGCUCGUUGAUUAUGCCAUUGACAUGAGUAAAUAUGAGACCUAAGUGUUAUUGUGAAUAUGGUUAGUUCAUAAUCUUUGCUGAAAACUAGAAUGCUGGCUUUACAUAUUUACAACAACAAGAGCAAACAGAGUUUGUAAAAGUUUUUCUUUAUCACUUUCAGUUUAUCAACUGAAUUGCUUGAGGACAAGCAAAGGUUUAAGAUUGGGGGAGUUGAUACGUCUCCAUCGUAUCUACUUUUCCAAACACUUUUGCCCUUGUUUUCGACUCUAACUUGUAUGAUUUGAAUGGAACUAACCCGGACUGACGCUGUUUACAGCAGAAUUGCCAUGGUGUUAUUUUUGUGCAGAAAUAAAAGUUCUCGGAAUGACCUGAAACUUCACGGAGAUAUUUUUGGAAUUUAUAAAAAAUACUGACGAAAGAAUCAAGACCAGGGGGCCCACACACUGUCCACGAGGGUGGGGGGUGCGCCUGCCCCCUUGGCGCGCCCCUGCCUCGUGGGCCCCCUAGUGCUCCAUCGACCUCAACUCCAACUCUAUAUAUUCACGUUCAGGGAGAAAAAAAUCAGAGAGAAGGAUUCAUUGUGUUUUACGAUACGGAGCCGCCGCCAAGCCCUAAUCUCUUCGGGAGGGCUGAUCUGGAGUCCGUUUGGGGCUCCGGAGAGGGGAAUCCGUCGCGGUCGUCAUCAUCAACCUUCCUCCAUCACCAAUUUCAUGAUGCUCACCGCCGUGCGCGAGUAAUUCCAUCGUAGGCUUGCUGGACGGUGAUGGGUUGGAUGAGAUUUAUCAUGUAAUCGAGUUAGUUUUGUUAGGGUUUGAUCCCUAGUAUCCAUUAUGUUCUGAGAUUGAUGUUGCUAUGACUUUGCUAUGCUUAAUGCUUGUCACUAGGGCCCAAGUGCCAUGAUUUCAGAUCUGAACCUAUUAUGUUUUCAUGAAUAUAUGUGAGUUCUUGAUCCUAUCUUGCAAGUCAAUAGUCACCUACUAUGUGUUAUGAUCCGGCAACCCCGAAGUGACAAUAAUCGGGACCACUCCCGGUGAUGAUCGUAGUUUGAGGAGUUCGUGUAUUCACUAAGUGUUAAUGCUUUUGUCUGGUACUCUAUUAAAAGGAGGCCUUAAUAUCCCUUAGUUUCCAAUAGGACCCCGCUGCCACGGGAGGGUAGGACAAAAGAUGUCAUGCAAGUUCUUUUCCAUAAGCACGUAUGACUAUACUCGGAAUACUUGCCUACAUUAUAUUGAUGAACUGGAGCUAGUUCUGUACCCGGAAAAGGCCCCAAGAUGGGAUCUCACGGGUACAGAAGGUUGCGGCGGUGGAAAUAGGGUUUCGUGGUGCUCCUGGAUGUUUUCAGGGUAUAUGAGUAUAUAUAGGCGAAAGAAGUAGGUUGGUGGAGCCACGAGGGGCCCACGAGGGUGGGGGUGCGCCUACCCCCUGGCGCGCCUCCCUACCUCGUGGCCGCCUCGUUGCUUCCUUGACGUCCACUCCAAGUCUCCUGGAUUGUGUUUGUUCCAAAAACGAUCCUCGCGAAGGUUUCAUUCUGUUUGGAUUCCGUUUGAUAUUCGUUUUCUGCGAAACACUGAAAUAGGCAAAAAAACAGCAAUUUGCACUGGGCCUUCGGUUAAUAGGUUAGUCCCAGAAAUAAUAUAAAAGUGCAUAAUAAAGCCCAUUAAACAUCCAAAACAGAUAAUAUAAUAGCAUGGAAUAAUCAAAAAUUAUAGAUACAUUGGAGACGUAUCAAGCAUCCCCAAGCUUAAUUCCUGCUCGUCCUCGAGUAGGUAAAUGAUAAAAACAUAAUUUUUGAUGUGGAAUGCUACCUAACAUAAUUUUCUUAGUAAUUCUCUUUAUUGUGGCAUGAAUGUUCAGAUCCGAAAGAUUCAAAACAAAUUUUUAAUAUUGACAUAAAAAUAAUAAUACUUCAAGCAUACUAACUAAGCAAUUAUGUCCUCUCAAAAUAACAUGGCCAAAGAAAGCUUAUCCCUACAAAAUCAUAUAGUUUGGCUAUGCUUCAUUUUCGUCACAAAAAAAAUGCUCUCAUCAUGCACAAUCCCGAUGACAAGCCAAGCAAUUGUUUCAUACUUUAGUAAUCUCAAACUUUUUUCAACUUUCACGCAAUACAUGAGCGUGAGCCAUGGAUAUAGCACUAUGGGUGAAAUAGAAUAUAAUGAUGGGGGUUGUGCGGAGAAGACAAAAAAGGAGAAAGUCUCACAUUGAUGCGGCUAAUCAAUGGGCUAGGGAGAUGCCCAUCAAUUGAUGUCAAUGCAAGGAGUAGGGAUUGCCAUGCAACAGAUGCACUAGAGCUAUAAAUGUAUGAAAGCUCAACAAAGGAAACUAAGUGGAUGUGCAUCCAACUUGCUUGCUCACGAAGACCUAGGGCAUUUGAGUAAGCCCAUUGUUGGAAUAUACAAGCCAAGUUCUAUAAUGAAAAAUUCCCACUAGUAUAUGAAAGUGACAAAAUAAGAGACUCUCUAUCAUAAAGAUCAUGGUGCUACUUUGAAGCACAAGUGUGGAAAAAAGGAUAGUAGCAUUGUCCCUUUUAUUUCUUUUUUUGGGCCUUUUUUUAUUUGGCCUUUCUCUUUUUUGGGGACAAUGCUCUAUUUAAUGAUGAUCAUCACACUUCUAUUUAUUUACAACUCAAUGAUUACAACUCGAUACUAGAACAAAAUAUGACUCUAUAUAAGUGCCUCCGGCGGUGUACCGGGAUGGGCAAUGAAUCAAGAGUGACAUGUAUAAUAAAUUAUGCAUGGUGGCUUUGCCACAAAUAUGAUGUCAACUACAUGAUCAUGCAAGGCAAUAUGACAAUGAUGAAGCGUGUCAUAAUAAAUUAAAUGAUGGAAAGUUGCAUGGCAAUAUAUCUCGGAAUGGCUAUGGAAAUGCCAUAAUAGGUAGGUAUGGUGGCUGUUUUGAGGAAGAUAUAAGGAGGUUUAUGUGUGAUAGAGCGUAUCAUAUCACGGGGGUUGGAUGCACAGGCGAAGUUUGCACCAACUCUCAAGGUGAGAAAGGGCAAUGCACGGUACCGAAGAGGCUAGCAAUGAUGGAAAGGUGAGAGUGCGUAUAAUCCAUGGACUCAACAUUAGUCAUAAAGAACUCACAUACUUAUUGCAAAAAUCUACAAGUCAUCAAAAACCACGCAUUACGCGCAUGCUCCUAGGGGGAUAGAUUGGUAGGAAAAGACCAUCGCUCGUCCCCGACCGCUACUCAUAAGGAUGACAAUCAAAGAACACCUCAUGUUUAAAAUUUGUCACACAACGUCUACCAACACCUCAUGUUUAAAAUUUGUCACACAACGUCUACCAACACCUCAUGUUUAAAAUUUGUCACACAACGUCUACCAUACGUGCAUGCUACGGGACUUGCAACCUUCAACACAAGUAUUUCUCAAAUUCACAACUACUCAACUAGCACGACUCUAAUAUUACCAUCUUCAUAUCUCAAAACAAUCAUCAAGUAUCAAACUUCUCAUAGUAUUCAAUGCACUUUUUAUGAAAGUUUUUAUUAUACCCAUCUUGGAUGCCUAUCAUAUUAGGACUAGUUUUAUAGCCAAAGCAAAUUACCAUGAUGUUCUAAAGGACUCUCAAAAUAAUUUAAGUGAAGCAUGAGCGAUCAACAAUUUCUAUAAAAUAAAACCACCACUGUGCUCUAAAAGAUAUAAGUGAAGCACUAGAGCAAAAUUAUUUAGCUCAAAAGAUAUAAGUGAAGCACAUAUUGUAUUCUAAUAAAUUCUGAUUCAUCACUACAAAAAAAGACACUUCCGUGAUGAUACGUGUUUGUCACAGUAGGUCACGUUUUCUGUCAUGUAUGUACAUCCAUGAGAAAUUUUUGACAGAAUGAAGAUAGUCAUACAUGUGCUAUCGUAGAAGUGUUCCAUGACAUUACCAAAAUUAUCAUCACGGAAGUGUCCACUUCCAUGACGAUAAAUCGCGCGUCACAGAAGUGCUUUCGUCAAGGGUGACCGACACGUGGCAUCCACCGUAACGGAACGUUGUUAAGCUAUCGGGUCCGGUUUUGGAUCCAAUAACCCGUUAACAGCCCGGACCAAUGGGGAUUUUCCACGUGUAAAAUUCUGAUUGGCUGACGGAAACACGUGUCAGCUCCGCGUUGGCACAGGUGUCACUCAUCCAAUGGGCGAGAUGCGCCUAUGAUAUGUUGACACGUGGACCAGCCCAAAAGUGGCCCAUAAAGUUUAAAUGGGCCGGCCUAACUAAAGGCCUACAAGAUUUUGCGGUCCAUAAUGGGCCAGCCCAGCAAAAGGCCCACGAGAUUUUGCGUAUCAUAAUGGGCCGGCCCAGCUAAUGGCCCACGAGAUUUUGCGGGCCAUAAUGGGCCAGCCCAGCUAAAGGCCCGCGAGAUUUUGCGGACCAUAAUGGGCCGGCCCAGCUAAAGGCCCAACAUUCUCAAUUAAGGCCCGUACGGCUAGUGUCAAAUCGGCCCGUCAACGGCCUGUCCUAAACUUGUCAUCAUCGCGGCCCAUGGUCACUUCUGGCCCGUUAACAGUCUGCUAAGUAUAUGGGCCGAAUUACGACCCAGUGUAUUUCCAGCCUGUUAAAGGUCCUGCUUCAUUUGGGCCCAUUUAGAGGCCAUUGAAACUUUCGGCCCAUAAACGACCGUGAAGGAUUUGGGUCAUAUUCGGCCAUGUCUGACAUUCGGCCUGGUAGAGGCCCACUAUAGAUUUGGGCCACUUUCGGCCUGUUGUGAAUUCCGGCCUGUUAACGUCAGAUGAAAUCCAUGGGCCAUAUGUGGCCCAACGUCACAUCGGGCCCAUUAACGGCCCAUAUAAAAAUGACGAUAAUCUAGCCCGACCGAACUUCCGGCCUGUUAAAGGCCCGUGUAUUAGGUCGGCGCAUUUACGGCCCGUCCGAAUUUCGGCCUGUGAAAGAUCUGCAUCGUAAAUGGGCCCAGUCUCACUUUCGGUCUUUUAAAGGCCCAUGUUUUUUAUGGGCUCGAGAUAUUUACACCUGUAAAUGGCCUAUUGUUACUGAGGGCCCAAAUUAUGUUUAGGCCUGUUAAAGGCCCACUAUGGGCACAGGCCUACCAGAAAAAUAUGAAAUCUUAUGCUGAUUUAGGCCUAGAUACUUUUAGUGGGCUACAUGCAAAUUUCGGCCCAUAAUCGUUUUUAGCCCAAUUGGAAUGGGCCCGACAAAUGUUGGCAUGUUGGGCUCCUAUGAAGCUUUCGGACGAAUACAUUACUAAGAUAAACCUACACUAUACAAAAAUAGCGUCGUAAUUAUUGCAGCCUUUGGCAGCAUCAUAAAUGCUGUAUCACAACAAAAGGCCUGUUGGCAUAAAGUUUACAGUCCUUGCAGAUAAAAGCACCAUCAGAUGUAUAGAAGCACAGAUCAUUUGACCUGAGUGCUAAUGUUUCAGGCAGUAGAAUCUGAUGGAGCAGCACGAUCUUCACCUUUUUCCGCCAUUGCUCUUGAACAACGAAGCGAAUGUCUGAUAGUCUGGUUUCAAAACCAUUCAUAUCUUGACGACAUUUGUCAACCACUAUUCUUGUUUCCAAAACGACGUCCAUUAGGGAUUGGACUUGUGUCUAGAGCACAGAUAUAUCACUCUGUCUAGCAGGAAGAUUUUGUUCAGUAGGCGAUUUGGACGAGGUUACCUUGACAACCAACCCAGAAUUACGCAGGAAGGUGCUUUUUGCACUGUUAGUGGAGAGAUACUGACGCACUGCAGCAAGAGGUGACAUUGUGCCUGUGGUAGCCUCGUCACCUUCAGGUGGUUGUGGUUGUUCAAUCAUUUUUUCCAUAGCUUCCUGAAAGUUUGAACUUGUAGAUUAGUGUACCAGAUAAGUUACUAAUGAGACAAAAACAAACAAAGUAGGUUACACGUUUAUACAUAACUUAUUUUGGUGAACUACUGUAAUACAUUAGCAUGUAUUGUAGUGCCAACUACAUAAUAAAAUCACUUUCGGAACAUAUGUCCAUGUAGCAUGCCUACUGUAUUGUCUAUUUCCUCACAUUCAUUGACAUCUAAGGAUAAAGAGACAUGGUUUAAAGUAGGAUGAACAUAGUAUGACAUCAUUCAUAUCAUGGGCAAACAGAUAUAAAACAAACAGGCUAUUUUAUCAUUGUGUGCGCGCGUGAACAUAACAACUAGAAUACAGAUCAAGACCAAAAGAGUAUCCUUCAUCUCUUUUAAGCCAUGUAAGGUGAAAUGAUACAUUAAGACAACUGUGUAUAAAAGUGAACAGAGUAACUGACAUUGGCUGCAAACCAAGUAGUUAAAUGAACACAUCACAAUACCAAUCAGUUCAAAGGCAGGAGGAGUAAGGACUUACAACAACGGCUUGAACUGGUGUGCUCAUGCCCUUCAUCUUGCUGGUGUGGCAAUCCUUGAAGAUUUGCACUGCAUUCGGUUCAGGUUCUUUUUGGUCCGCACAGGCUUUCCUCUGUAUUUGGAACAAGUCAAUAUAGAUAUGAUAAUAUGGCACAGAAAAAAGAAGGAAGUAGCAGCUAUUUACAAGAGCCUCGCAGUGUGCAAUAUAGCUACGAGAUCCUAUUGUUUGUUGGAAUUUCACUUUAGAACGGUUGGUCUUGUUCUUCAAACAGUUAGCCUAGAAGAAGAUACACUUGUAAGGCACAUACAUAAAUACAAGUUCAAUAUGUGGUCUGAUCAAAUACAUAUAGCCUACCUGAUACUUUGGAUCAGACCAGUGUUUAACGAGGGUUGUCGAGUCUUCAUCUGUAAUAUAUUCCACUGGAGAUGUUUGGGCGAUUUCAUUGUUAGCCUUGCCUUUAAAGUGAGAUUUUCUAAGGUGGUACCGAUACUGUCGUAGAGCAGACUAAAAAACGUGAGUGCAUGCUUGUUUAGUUGCAUCAUCUUUUAGAUCCAACUUGAACCUCAUCUGUUGAAAAAAGAAUGUGAGUCUUAUUAGGAGGAAGCUAGAAAGUAUGGGACAGAGCAACACAAUAUUACUAAUUGCGAUGAAUAACAUUACUUACGGAUAAAUGGUCAAGGAAGGUGUUAAACUGGGUAUUGUCUUUCUCAUUCCUGUACUGGAUCCACGUUGGGAGGAUACGUGCAUGACACCUAACGGGAACGGCUGCCUCUGAUACUAACUUGGCUGACUCUGUAGCAUCACGUGGCCUUUUUAAACCUGCCUCAAAAUGGAUCUCCAUUCUUCCUCCUUUAGAUUUUGUUAAUCUAUCAAGCAUUAUCCCUGAUGUUUGUUUUCGCUUGCGUCGUGGUGCUAGUUCAACAACGAAUAUGGAAAGUGUUAGUGUACAUCAAACUGUGAGAGUACAUAUAAAGGAGCAUGCAACUGCAACUUGACUCGGUCAGGUACCGUCUUGGUUGAUGCUCAUGAGGUUCAUCUGAUCUUGCCAAGUCCUGUUGUGUCAGCAGUGCUUCGGAAGUAGUGUUAGGUGUGAAGGCAUCUUGGGAACUGGCCAGUUCCAGAGCAAACGAACGAGUAACUCGUUGAGAUGCUGGUACAGUUGAAGCGGAUGCUGCAGCUGGUGGAGCAGGUGAUACUGCGUUUGUAGAUUUAGCCGGUGGACUUGGACCUUCUACUACACUAUAAGUACCAGCAGAAUCUGGACGGCAGAUCCUUUUCCGUUUCACCCGACGAGUAACACCACUCCCUACUAUAUUAUUUUCCUUGCUCUUUUUUCACUUUGCCAUGUCAAGCCGUACCCACAACACAAAAGAAUAAAAUCGCUCUUCAGAACUCAUUGAUGCAUGAUACAGACAAGCAAUACUUUGAUGUAAGACAACCGUAUGAGGAUGGAAUAUGUAAGAAAAAAAGGACGGCAUGACAUAUUCACAGCUACGAUGUGUAAACUAAGCAGAAGGAUUUUCAAGAAAAUAGAAGUAAUGCAAGCUAGACACCAUAUGAAAGAUGCAACCAAUAUUACUCUGCCAAGUUAAAAGUGUCUUGUCAUAAGUGGCAAUUCGAAAAAUUAGAAGCAAUACAACGUAGAAAUCAAUGCAAGAUGCAACCACUAUCAAACUGCCAUGUUAAAAGUGUCUAAUCAUGAGUGACUGAUGCGGGAUACACAAUGGCAGUACUUUGAUGUAAGAACAUGGUAUGAUAGAUAGAUGCAGUGUAUUCUAGACACAAAACGCCAUGUCAUAUGCACAUGUAUAACGUAUGAACUCAGCAGGUGCAAUUUAAUCAAAAUAGAAGAAAUACAGGAUAGACAACAUAUGCAACAUGAAAUCAAUUAUCACACUGUCAACUUAGAGCAAGCACCUGCGAUGGUGGAGUACGGGAGAUGAACUCAUUAUGUAGACUUGGGACUUCAACUUCAUUAGCAGUAGCAGUGGCAAAUCUAGAGAGUCUCUGUUUGCGUUGGUGCAGAGGACCACCAACAUCCCCUAACUUACUCUUUUCCUUCCUAUUUUCUGAUAUUGCCUUAUGAAGUCAAAACCACAAGAAGAUGAAUAAAAUUAUCUCUGCAUAACUGGUUGAUGCAUGAUACAGACGAACACUACUUUGAUGUAAGGCAAGCGCAGGAUAGGAGGAUGGAAUAUAUACAAAAAAGACAGCGUUUCAUAUUCACACGUACGAUAGGAGGAUGGAAUAUGUAUGAAAAAACAGUAAGCGUAAGGCAUUUCAACAAAAUUAGAAGAAAUGAAAGCUAGGCACCAUAUGAACAUGCAACCAAUAUCACUCUAUCAGGUAAAAAGUGACUCGUCGUAAGUGCCAUUUCAAGAAAUUAGAAGCGGUACAAGCUAGAAGACAAUGCAAGAUGCAACCUACAUCACAGUCCCAAGUUAAAUGUGUCUUAUGGGUAAGUGAUCGUUGCAGGUAUAAAUUGUAAGCUACGCAGAUGCAAUUCAACAUAAUCAGAAGCAAUAGAAACUAGACAUCAUACGGAAAACGCAACCACAUAUAACAGUUCCAAGUUAGAGCAAGCACCUGUGAUGGUGGAGUAGGGGAGAUGUGCUCAUCAUGUACACGUAUGUUCUAGAAACAGGAACACGUGUCAUAUUCACAGGCAUUAUGUGUAAAGGAAGCAGAUGCAAUUCAACAAAGUUAGAAGUAAUACAAGCUAGACAUCAUACGCAACAUGCAACCACAUAUAAUAGUGCCAAGUUAGAGCAAGCACCUGUGAUGGUGGAGUAGGGGAGAUGUGCUCAUCAUGUACACGUAUGUUCUAGAAACAGGAACACGUGUCAUAUUCACAUGCAUUAUGUGUAAAGUAAGCAGACGUAAUUCAACAAAGUUAGAAGCAAUACAAGCUAGACAUCAUACGCAACAUGCAACCACAUAUAAUAGUGCCAAGUUAGAGCAAGCACCUGUGAUGGUGGAGUAGGGGAGAUGUGCUCAUCAUCUACACAGCUACGUUGACUGUCUAGCCUUGCGUUGUCUUGCGAAUUUUGUUGGGAGGAUGGCAGAGUAGAAUCUGUAGAGAACCUCCGUUUCAGUUGCUCGGAAGGACCAAUCAUCUAAUGCCUUGCCAAUUUCCUUCAGCUUUAUUGAUUUUGCAUUGUGAGGAAUAUAAUUCGCUCUUCAGAACUCAUGCAUGCAUGAUACUGACGAACACUACUCUGAUGAAAGGCAAAGUCACGAUACGAGGAUGGAAUAUGUACGAAAAAAUGGAAGGCUUGACAUAUUCACACCUAUGAUGUGGUAACUAAGCAGAAGGCACUUCAACAAAUUAGAAGCACUGCAAACUAGACACCAUAUGAAAGGUGCAAUCAAUAUCACUCUGCCAAGUUAAAACUGUCUCAUCAUAGGUGGCGUUCAUCAAACUAGAAGCAAUACAUGCUAGAAAUCAUAUUCAAGACGCAAACCAAUAUCACACUGCCAACUUAAAGGUGUUCCAUCAUAAGUGACCGAUGCAGGAUACACAAGAAGAGUAGUUUCAUGUAAGAACAUGGUGUGAUAGACAUAUAUAGUAUAUACCAAAAACAGGAAAGCGUGUCAUAUUCACACAUAUCAUGUGUAAGCUAAGCAGAUGCAGUUUACACUAAUUAGGAGCAAUACAAGCUAGACACCAUAUGCAACAUGCAACCAGAUAUCACACUACCAAGUUAGAGUAAGCACCUUGGAUGGUGGAGUAGGGGAGCGGAGACUUGGACCUUGUAAUGCACUAUCAGUACAAGGAGAAUCGGUAUAGAUGCUCCGUUUACGUUGCCGUAGAGGACCAACAUCAUCGCCUUCCUUACUCUUUUCCUUCCUCUUUCUUGAUUUUGACUUGUCAAGUCAAACCCACAAGAAAAAGGAAUAAAAUUUGCUCUUCAGAACUCAUUGAUGCAUGAUACUGAUGAACACUACUUUCAUGUAAGGCAGCCGCAUGAUAGGAGGAUGGAAUAUGUAUGAAAAACAGGACGACAUGACAUAUUGACAUGUAUGAUGUAUAAAGUGUAAACUAAGCACAAGGUGCUUGAACUUGUUAGAAUCAAUGCAAGCUAGAAACCAUAUGAAAGAUGAAACCAAUAUCACUCUGCCAAAUUAAAAGGGUGCCCUAACAAAUGUAUUUGACCAAAUUAGAAGCAAUACAUGGCAACAGGCUAGAAAUAAUAUGCAAUAUGCCACGAAUAAAGGUGACUCAUCGUAAGUGAUUGAUGCAGGAUACAAAAGAGAGGUAGUUUCAUGUAAGAACAAGGUUAACACAUAGAUGUAGUGUGUACCAAAAAAUAGGAAGGCAUGUCAUAUUCACAGGUAUAAUGUGUAAACUAAGCAGAUGCAAUUUACCCUAAUUAGAAGCAUUACAAGCUAGACACCGUAUGCAACAUGCAACCACAUAUCACACUGCGAAGUUAGAGCAAGCACCUGUGAUGGUGGUGUGGGGGAAUUGCGGUCAUCAACUAGAGAGCUACGUUGACUAUCUUCAUUUAGCCUUGUUGUUUCUUGAGAAUCAUGUGGGGAGGAUGACACUGCACUCUUUAAACGAGUAUGGCGUCUCACAGUAACCCACCCGGGUGACUGUCUCAUCAUAAGUGAUUGACGAGGGAUACAAAAGAGCAUUAGUUUGAUGUACGAACAUGGUUAAUAGACAUAUGUAGUAUGUAUCAAAAACAGGAAGGCAUGUCAUUAUCAAAGGUAUAAUGUGUAAAGUAAGCAGAUGCAAUUUAACCAAAUUGGAAGCAAUACAAGCUAGACACCAUAUGCAACAUGCAACCACAUUUGACAACGCAAAGUUAAAGCAAGCACCUGGGAUGGUUGUGUGUGGCAAUUGAGAUCAUCAACUGCAGAGCUACGUUUACUGUCUCCAACUGCUGACACUGCAUCCUUUAGAGCGCUGAAACGCUUAGUGCUUAUCUUCGAAUUACACUGGAGCGACUUCUGUCUUUUCUUUUCAGCAUUCAUCAACACUGCAUCAGAGUCUGAAAUACCCAUGCAUAAAAAAACAAUAGUGUGAGUAUGGGUGAAGUGUGUGCACAAUUAGUACAGUGUAAAGGUAGCAGAUAGCAGGUCGGUGAGAAAUAAAUGACGGGAGACAUAUGAUAGCUCUACAACAUGCAUGGCACACUAAAUUACUACAAGAUUCUAUGAAAAUAACAUUCGACUGAAAACAAAUAGGUCAGUCCAUUUUUUCUGCACCGUCCGAUGUACAAAGAACGGGCAGAUCGCCUUCAUCUACCUCCAGCCAGUCAGUGUUGAUGAUCUUCCUUGAAACGGCAGCGACCACCGGCCUAGUCCCCUGCCUGCGCCCUCCCCUCGACCUCACCGCACCGCCGUGCUUGGCACCGCCCCCUGGCAAUCCAUUCAUGCCCCACCGACCUCCAGAUCGGGCGCAAGUAGCUCCUUCGCCCCACACCCCUAUGAUAGACACCGAUGCGCCACUUCCCCGGCGAACAGGCAGACUAGGUGCUCCGCGUGCCUAAGCGGGUGUUGCUUCUUUUAAUUGCGGUUCGACUGACCCUGAAUUGAAAUCCAGGCGGGCUACUGACCUCUAGCAAAGGUGAAAUAGUAAAGGGAGGAAACCUUGUGCAUUUAGUAUCAUGAAGAAGAUGCAGUAAGAAGCGCUCAACUAGUUUCUUUCAUGGGAUGAAUACGGUGUGAGCAGAGAUGUAAGGUUUGCAUGAAUAAGGGAAGAGGAAUACCUCUUUCUGCUGGCAGUGCUGUGUCCUCCUUCUGUUUUUCCAAUGAUCUUCUUGUGGUUUGCUGGAAACGAGAAGUUGUGGAGGACGAUGCAGCCUUGGACGAACCCAUGGCCAAGUUGUUGAGUGUGGUGCGGUGGCCGUCUGUCGGCGGCGGGGAAGCAGAUCCGAGGCGGCGAACGACGGCGUAGCGGGAACAGCUCCGGUGCGGUGGACGGUUGCGACAGUGGAGCGGCAGUAGUGAGGCGCAGGACGGCGUGGUCGGAGUGGUUCUGGUACGACGCACGUCGGCGUCGGUGUCGUGGAGGCAGCUCUACCUCGGCUUCAGCUGCUAAGUCCUUGAGGGCGUUGCGGUUGCGUUGGACGACGACGCCGGGGUACCGGCUCCGGCGUGAUGGAGUUGGGCGGCGGUGGAUUGGGCGCUAUGGGGUGGAGGACGGAGGAGGCUGGGGUUUCGCGGCUGGUGGAGAGGGCGUUUUGGGCCCCAUAGAGUAUGAAUCUGGAAACGGAGGGAGGCGGGGAACUAAGGGGGAACAAUGUUUCAGUUUGGGACGCGCUUGUUUGAAAUUUGGGGAAGUUACAAACUUUACCCCCGUCUAAAAUUUUGGACAUAUUGCGGGUUGGGGGUAGGACAGUAAUCUCAGGUGUCCCAAAUGUGGGCGGGAUAAAUUUCGGCCGAGCGCAUGGGUGUUUAGGCGCCCACGGCGUAUGAAUGCUUCUCGGAGGCGGUUGAGACUGGCGUCUUGGUGAAAUUAUAAACCUACCCCGGUUUAGACCUUUGGACAUCGGGCCGAUAGGCUACACGGGCCAGAGUCAGGACAGUAAUUUCCUACCACCAAACAUUAGUCUCGCGCAGUUUCGGGUGACCAUAUGCCUAUUUGGCGCUUCGUUCAAUAUUUGGGAGCAGAAGCAUUAACAUUUUCGGUUCUCUUGAAUUGAACAUUCAGGAUUUGUCAAACUUCACAAAUCUUUACUCUUGAAAAUCCUAAAGCUACGAUUAUUUUGGAAUGGAGGUGGUACAUUUGAAUAUACAUUGUACACUAGUAUAUAUUAAAAAAAUGCAACUUACCACAGUUCAUGCAUGGUUCCAGAUAUAAUCUCCUUGGUUGCAAAAAAAAGUUAGACAUGUGUAUGAAUAUAUAUAGCAUGUUCAAACGCACAACAAAGAUUGAUGCCCCCUUUUACAUCUGAUUUAAAAAUGCCAUUAUCUCGGGUUCAAAUAGAUGAAUGCACUUCCUAUGAAUUCGAAUCUUCGAAACCCCCUUUAUGUUGAAUUCGACAUGUAUUCUAUUUCGUAGCUAGCAAUUUGGAAUGUAUCCAUGCAAGUGACAAAUGUAUAAAGUGCUUCACACUAACAACAUGGAGUGCACUAAUUAAUGUUUAUAUAUGAAUUGCAAAAGCAUCCAUUGCCUGUAUUUCAAACCGCUCUCACUCUAUGGAUCUAUAAUAUGAAAUAAACACAUGCACAUGCUAGAAUUCAAUAGAGUAUGGGUGUCUGAUAGACCGAUUUUCGUCCAUAUGCAAUUUGCAAAAAUCAUGAUCUCAUCCAGAAAUAAUAAUGCCAUUUAUAUUUUAAUUUAAUGCGUAGAACCGCCUUUUACACGUAGAUGCACUAUGCCUCGGCCCGUUCUCACAAACACGCUAUAUAUCUCUCUAUCUACCGCAUAAGUGCACACACUUUAUAUGCAUCGGCAUUUCUCUUUCACACAUGCUCACAAUCUCUCUCGGGGUGUCGGGGAGUCUCACGCACAUGCUCUCUCUGUAUCUCUCUCUCUCUCUCUCUCUCUCUCUCUCUUUCUGACUACUAUGUACCACUCUUUUCACUAAUCUCAGCUGGAACACACUAUUUCUCUCACAUGCAUAUAUACACACACACACGGUCUCUACUAGCCCUCUAUACGCACAUAUAUGUGCCUACGUGUCUCCCGCACGCACAUUAUCUUUAGGCCUCUCUCGCACACAUUGCCCCCCCCCCCAGACACACCUCUCUCUUAGUAGUUGGCAGAUAUGAUUCCAUCAUAUCAUUCGGUAGGAUAUCCCUGACUGUUAGGCUGGAUGAUAAUACGAGGCAAAGUUUUACCCUAGUUCGGACCCUUGCAGUUGAGGAAAAAGCCUACUCCUGGUACUGUAUAUUAGUGAUAGGGGUAUGUACAAAGUACACGUGAAUACCAGGCAUUGUACGUGUGUGUAUACUAUCGACGAACUAGCCCCCAAGCUUCUAUAACAUACUAGGGGCCUAGGGUUACAAAUCAUAUAUAGUCGGCUUAUCACCAGUGGGGAUAGAGUCCUCCGCGACUCUGGUAGCUAGCUUCGUGUUGUACGCCAAGUCCUCCACAUGGGUCUUCGUAUAACGCGUCUCGAUCCAACCUAUGUGGCGCGGGAUGGAACCGACCCAUGAGUCCUCAUGUUGACCCACUGUCGGUGUCAAAACCGGCGGAUCUCGGGUAGGGGGUCCCGAACUGUGCGUCUAGGAUCGAUGGUUGCAGGAGACGGGGGACACGAUGUUUACCCAGGUUCGGGCCCUCUCUAUGGAGGUAAUACCCUACUUCCUGCUUGAUUGAUCUUGAUGAAUAUGAGUAUUACAAGAGUUGAUCUACCAUGAGAUCGUAAUGGCUAAACCCUAGAAGUCUAGCCUGUAUGACUAUGGUAAUGAGUAUAUUAUCUGGACUACGCCCUCCGGUUUAUAUAGACACCGGAGGGAUCUAGGGUUACAUAGAGUCGGUUACAUAAGAAGGAAUCUUCAUAACUGAUCGCCAAGCUUGCCUUCCAUGCCAAGGAGAGUCCAAUCCGGAUACGGGUACAAUCUCCGGCCUUCAUGUCUUCACAGCCCAUCAGUCCGGCCCAUGGAUAACAGGCCGGACGCCUGAGGACCCCUUAGUCCAGGACUCCCUCAGUAGCCCCUGAACCUGGCUUCAAUGACGAGGAGUUCGGCACGCAGAUUGUCUUCGGCAUUGCAAGGCGGGUUCCCUUCCUUACGAACUCCAAGAUAGUCUUCAGAUGUAAUGAUUGUAUUCAGACUUGUAUACACAACUGUAGAGGAUAUAAUAUUUCACGAGCUAUAAUCCGCUGACAACCUUUUGGUAAUAUGACAUCACGCCUGCUCGGCCACUAUUUUCGAACCGUUUUACCUGGCCCGUCGUCCCACGUCUCAAGACGUGGUUUUAUUGGCAUGUCUUAUCCAAGCGGAGAUCGUGUCUCCCCCUUUUCAAGGGAUUCCUGUCAACCCAGACAUGGGAACCCAACCGUCGCUUGGGUAUAACUCCUUGGAAACAGGCACGUUUUUUAGGCCUAGGAGGAGACGUUUGAUAUUCGCAUCCUUUAUAUAGGGGUACAGACCCGUCUUUUUCUUUCACGCUUGCUUCUUCCUCGACCCCUGCUACCUCGAGUUCCAACACCUGGGUUUCAGUUGCCACAAGCCCCAAUCAUGUCCGGAUCCAGCCGUCAAGGCCGGUGGGUAGCUUCUUCUGUCACGGAGGGAGAUAUUGCCAAGCUUCAGGCGGCGAGGUACCUGACCGCAGAAAUCCAUCAUCGGCUUCCUGCCGAGGGGCAGGUUAUUCCCACCCCCAGAUCCGGUGAGAGGGUCGUGUUCGUGUCCCACUUCCUCCGCGGGUUAGGGUUUGCACUUAAUCCCUUCGUCCGAGGGCUCAUGUUCUAUUACGGGCUAGAUUUCCACGAUCUGGCCCCGGACUCUAUUCUUCUUAUCUCGGCAUUUAUCGUUACGUGCGAAGCCUUCCUCCGAACUCCUCCUCACUUUGGCUUGUGGCUCAAGACCUUCGAUGUGAAGCCGCAAGUGAUAGAGGGGGAGCAAGCUGAGUGUGGUGGUGCUACAAUGAGCAAGCUUGCUAGCGCGGUUUCGCUGAAAGGAUCCUUCGCCAAAUCUUCCGAUUUAUGGCAGCAGGGGUGGUUCUAUAUCAUCGAGCCCCGCGGCUCCAAGUGGGCAGCUGCGCCCAAAUUUCGAUCUAGCCCCCCAAUUCAGCUUGCAUCGUGGAUUAAUAAUGGGUUGGACUAGGGAUCAACGGACGAGGUGCGAACUCUGCAAAUUCGCAUCCGAAGCCUCAUUGAGAGGGACAUCAACAUCGUCAACGUUGUCCAAGUAAUGCUAGUUCGUUGGACCCUGCCGUGCCAGCGACAGCCCCUCCGCCUGUGAGAGUUCAAUCUAGAAGGGCCGCGGACUCUUUAGCACUUUUUCGGCACUACGCACGAAGGAAUGUGGAAAUUAUUCUUCGGGAAACGAAGGCAAUGGACGGACACCACCGAAGAUGUCGGCCUAGACCGUAAUCAUCCGGAUACCCUGGUAAGUACCCAUUUGCCGAAUACCUCAUAAUCAGAUACCCAGUGGCCAGAUACUGACCGAAUCAUCCUUUUCCAGGGCUGGAUAAAGAAGGUGGAACGGAUUAGGUGUCCGGCUCCCCUUCCCGAAGACUCAGCUAAUCCUGUGCUAACAAGGAUGCUGGCCUCGGCACCAUAUCAGGCGCCGGCAAGGGAGGGCGAAGAGGAGAGCGAAAAGACCCGGGAUGACCUUUGUUCCAGAAGUAAGUCGGAUACUGAGUCUGGAGAAAUCGACCUUUCCUCGCCUGAAUAUAAAGGCGAAAAGGAGCCAGCAUCCCUUCUCCGAGUAGGAGGAAAAGGGCCGCCUCCGAAGGUUGGGAGGGGCGACCCCCCAAAAGGGGCAAGAUGCCACUGUUGAGCGGCUUGGGUUUGGAAAGCGACGCCGUCGAACAGCUCCGACAAGGGGACAAGCCCUCGGCCAAACCGUAAGCGAAUCCGGAAUACUUUGAUAGCGUCCCGCUCCUUUGUCGUUACUGAAGAUAUACGUAACGCAUCCGUGCAUUUUUACAGGUCGGCGCAGAGUGUUUAUGGGCAAUCCUCUUCUUUGGGAGGUCUCCUCCCAGAGAUGAUGGAGAGCGAGACGCCUCCCCCAACUUCCUCACCCAAUAAGGCGGAUGACUCCGAAGUGUCGUCGCGGAGGGUUCUUCUUGAUCAACAAGCUACGCAGGGGAUAAAAGAGGCAGCACCCGAAGGUGGAUCUCCGCCCGUCCGAGGUUCUGGGGCUGAUAAUAAAGGCCCCAGACUAUCUGGCUCGCAGCCGACGGUGAUUCUGGAGACGGGUGAACAGAUUCCUUCAAAGGAUGGUGGUGCUCCUAGAGCGGCUUCCGGAGACCCGGAGGCUCCGGAUAUAUUGCGGGACAUGUUGCGAAAAGCAUCUGUCUCGGGAGAACAACGUACCUUGAUGGGUACAGUGGUUGAGAAGUUUUUGUCCGCGAAGAGCGGAUUAAAUGAAGCCUUCAUGAGCCUGCUGAAAGGCUUCAAGGUUUGUGGUAUAAUAUUAUCAGCUAUGUUUUAUUUGCAAAGAUGCGCCUGUGUAUAGGUAGUAGCCCCUGAGACUCGGGUUGGCUUCCACUUGGAAGCGAACCGGAGGAUCAAAAAUGAUUACUCAAGGACUGAUCUGAUGAACUUGAACACAGGCUGUUUCCCCCUUAGCUACUUCCCAGACUAUGGAUAUUGCCGAGCUGCAGUGGAAGCUUGAUGUAGUAGGGGAUGACCUUGCGUUAAUCAAUAUGCGUCUUCACGAGUCGCAAGGUAUGUAUUUGGGGCAAUCCCCAUACGUUUUUUUGGUAUAAGCAUGAUGCUAAAAUCUGUAUGCUGGAAUAUGCGUGGUUGUAGAUGGUGCUGCCGCUGUUGAGGUUCUUCGAGCGGAGUUGGACCGGGCCAAGGAGCAGGCCCGGUGUAGCAAUGCGGCUGCCGAAAAGGCAUAGGCUGAGUUAAAAGCCGAACAAGCUGCACGCCGCCAAGACGAGGAGAAGAUAUCCACGAUGACGCUCGAACUGGAGAAUGCUACUGGCCGCUGUGAACUUCUGGAGAAGGAGAGUAAAGCCUUAAAGGCUGAACUGGACAAGGCCUAACAAGAGGUUAGAGAAGCGCGGUCAGAAUCCAGGGCAACCCGUGAGGAGAUCCGGCAAGCUAGGGAGAUUGCGGCUGGUAAGCCGUUUCUGCUGCAAACUAAGUUCGGUGAUCUGAACUAUGCUCAGCUUAACCAAGUGUGGAGUUCUCCGGACGAGUUAUUGGAAUUGCCGAAGAGUUCUUCCGAUGCGGUGCAGUAUUACCAAGCGCGAGAUGGGUAUGCAACGGAGAAGCUUUUUUGGUCACAGUUUGGCGCAUCAAAGCGCCCUCUGUUGCUAAAUGAACAGAUGUCCCAAUGGGCCGAACUUCAUAGGAUAUCCGGCGCUGCCAUGAAGGAUGUCAUAAUCCGGUUGUGGCCAACCAAGCCUGCUCCGAAUAGCUAUUUUGGUUUGGUGCAGAGGCUUGUUGACGCGGUGCCGCGUAUCGACGUUGUGAAGCGGUCAACAUGCGUUGAGCGUGCACGGAUGGCUUUUGCCCAAGUCAAGACAUUCUGGGGGAAGAUGAAGGCCAUCGAUGUUGCGACGAAGAGUCCACCCAAAGGCAAGGACCGUCCGGAACCGGAUCAUUAUUUUGAAGACAUCCUAGAGGCCGCCCGCUUGAUAGAGGGUCAGUGCUCGAAAGACAUAAUGUUCGAGUGAGGUGUAUGAAAAUUGUAAAAGACAAUUUUAUAGUUAAUCUAUUUUUAUGUUUUGCUCGAAAGCUUGAAUUCCUCCCGUGCGUCCGUUUUAAUAUAAUCUGAAAGUUUUCCAGUCGUCGGCUUCAGCCCCCUCGUAGGAAGUACGAGGGUGUUCGGAAAAGCAUUUAAUCACUCUUUAUCGAACGUCUUGGUCCAUGAAUGAGGUGAUAAUGCGGCGAACCAGGCAAUCGGACUAUAGGGCGUUAACACUUUCAUUUAGCCAUAGGAGUUUUAUGGUGGGACUACGACAUAGCCCCUGGUAUGUAUGCGGCGUAUGGUGCCUUACAUAUUUGAUCCGAAAAAGAUCCUUCAUGUGACACGGAGAAUCGCUAAAGAUUCCAAUAAGUCGUCAAGUGUUUGACCAGCUCUCGCCGCAUCAUGACAGUCAGUUUUCGGCUUUCUCUACUGAGGUACUUGACCAGAUGAACUGGAAGCACAAUCGCAGUAGUUCUCCCUUUACUACCCUAGCCGAUAGAGCGGAACGUAGGGUAGCAAGCACAGGAGCCGGGCAACCCAACUAUUGACCCAAGACAAUGAUUCGGAGCUGAUGCAUAUAAGGCCAAACUUGCGACGCCGAAGUACGCUGUAGAGCUGUUCGGGCUUUUGCUGGCAACUCAUUUAUUCCCAUACCAAGCGCCUGGCGGGUUAUGCCAAGGUAUGUCUAUGAGAGCCGUAUUUAGCGGUGAAACAACAUGGAUGAUUAAUUCUGAUACUGGGAGUUGAGCGAUAUGCCAAUGAUUAUUUAUUAUAUAUAUAAGCCAUCCUCCCGGCUAUUUGACAUGCUCGGGGUCGGAGGCGGAGGAACAGGCAUAGUACAGGCUCGAAAUAGAGAGUGCGGUCUACAAAAAGUUAUUUUGGACCUCCUGUCGCACGUCUGCGCCGCCAGUCCUCGGCGGGGGGAAUCCUUGACGGAGAUAGCCCCUUAGGUGAGUGUACGGAUCCAAACUUCGAUAGAGCCAGUUUCAGAUGUUUGUCCUGUUCGUCACCUGUUUCUAAGAGAUAGUGAAGGAAGAAAUAAAAAGAAAAUGGAUAAAAAAUGUUACGGGGAUGCUUGCAGGCUUGUUUGUAGUGUGCUUCCGCCAAUGCCCAUGGUAUUUUGAGUGCGUAGUGAUGUAUGCGCGGCACAAAUUUUGCGGGUGUACGAGGUGGGCGGAGGAAGCCGGACUGCUAUUUUCGCUCCAGGAGUAGUUGAUCCUCGGGUGCAAAUUGCUUCUGACCCCCGGUAUUUCGUUGGUGAACCACUCUGUCAUCCCUGUCGCCUGGCGGCCUUCUCCCCUUGUGUUCGGCGUUGAGCUUGCCGGCCUGUUUAAAGACCCAGCAGUUUCUGUUAGUAUGAUUAGCUGGUUUAUUGGGGUGGCCGUGAAUCUGGCAGGGUCGGUCCAAUAUCCUGUCUAGGUUGGAUGGUUUGUCUCGAUUCGCCUUGAAUGGCUUCUUUCGUUGGCCGGGCUUGGGAUUGCUAAAUCCGGCAUUGAGCGCUGUGUCGCGUGAUCUUUCAUUAUCAUUGCGACUGUUGUAUUUGCUUCAUCGAGGCUUGCUGUUGCCGUCUCGGAUUUCGGAUGUGCCCGGGGCGUUGGCGCUGUUGCUUCUACGAGCGAGCUAGCUGUCUUCUCCCGCGCAAAGCGGGUCAUCAGAGCAGUGAGGGCUGUCAUGGAUUUAGGUCCUUCUUGGCCGAGGUGGCGUGCAAGCCAUUCGUCUCGGACACUGUGUUUGAAAGCCUCCAGGGCUUCCGCGUCCGGACAGUCGACGAUUUGGUUCAUUUUGACUAAGAGCCGAGUCUAGAGCUUCCUGGCUGACUCUCCGGGCUGCUGGACAAUGUGAAUUAGGUCAUCGGCAUCCGGUGGCCGGACAUAUGUUCCUCGGAAGUUAUCGAGGAAGGCCUGUUCCAAGUCCUCCCAGCUGCCUAUGGAAUUUUCAGGCAGGCUGUUUAACCAGUGUCGAGCUGGCCCUUUUAGCUUUAGUGGGAGGUAUUUAAUGGCGUGGAGGUCGUCCCCACGGGCCAUAUGGAUGUGGAGGAUAAAAUCUUCUGUCCAUUCCACGGGAUCGGUUGUUCCGUCGUAUGAUUCAAUAUUGACGGGUUUGAAUCCUUCGGGGAAUUCAUGAUCCAUUACUUCAUCGGUGAAGCAAAGCGGGUGUGCGGCGCCUCUAUGUUGGGCCACACUGCGACGUAACUCCGAAGGAGUCCAUUUGCGGUUUUCGGCUCGGGCGUGGCUAGGUUUGUCACGUCCGAAUAGGUAGCCAUCGUCGCGUGUCGAGGCAUGCCUUCACGAUCCGUAGAUCGGUCUUGCGUGUCCGGCUCUACUGCCCAAGUCUCGCUGUAGGUCGUCUGGACGAUUGUGAGCUGCGUUAUUCUUGCCUUUACGGCGAGGUGGGGCGGUCUGGUUUUUGUCUUGAGUUGCCUCUUUAUCCGGACAGAAUUGUCGGCGACCAGCCGCAUUGUGUGAUGAUGGUACGGGCUCCAACGCCUCGUCGUCGAAUUGAUGUAGCAAUCGCUUCGGGUAGCUUCCGGCUAAGCCACUAAGGCCGUAUUCUUCGGCGACCAGGACUUCGGUCCAUCUAUCAUUGAGUAGGUCUUGGUCAGCUUGAAGCUGCUGCUGCUUCUUUUUCAGGCUCCUUGCAGUAGCUAUUAGCCUGCGCUUGAAGCACUCUUGAUCAAGGGGCUCUUCAGGUACGAUGAAGUCUUCAUCGCCGAGGCUUACCUUAUCUUUGGAGAGCAGAAGGUAGUUGUCGUUCUCCGAAUUGUCGCUGGGCAGGGCCUGUUCAUCGGGGCUGGCUUGCCCGUUUUCCUGUUCCUCCUGUUCGGAUCUUGCUCCAACAGGGUCUUCAUUGUUUUCGGCGUCGUCCGGAGUACUAUUUUCUCCGGUGUCAGCGUUGUUGCGAUGUGACUUGGAGCGGUGUUUAGGGCGCCGGUACUUAGACUGUGUCUCAGGAGGUUUAUUCUCAACUGGAUCUUCUUUGUCAUCGUCGUGGGCUUUUUUAAGUGUAUCGACCAUGUACACGUCGUACGAAUGGGUGGCCAUCCCGCGUCUUUUGACUGGCGGGUCUUGACCUUACUCCUUGUCGGCAUCGUCGUCUAUGCCGUCAAUGUCUUCAGAACCAUAAUCAGGCGUGUCGGUUAAGUCCUCGACAGUGGCUAUGAAGUGGGCGGCGGGUGGGAAGCGAAAUUCUCCAUUAUCAGCCUCUAGCUCGAACCGAACAUAGUUCGGCUAUGAGUCCUUCUCCGAGGACAAAUUCUUUAAAGAGUUUAGCACAUCACCCAAAGGCGAGUGCUGGAAGAUGUCUGCGGCGCUGAAUUUGAAAAUCGAUAAACGAUCCAGCUCGGUGUCCGCAGGCGUACAUGGUCUGGAACUUAUAACCGGCGACGAGUUUGGAGUUCCGUUGACGCAAAUAUUCCCAGGUGUUGAGUCUGUGUGCGGCUCCAACGCCGCGGACUCUGUGGCUUCAGAUGGUGCAAUCUGCUCCGGACCUAUGGCCGUAGCAGUUACAGGAACCAUCUCCUGAAUCUGGUCCGAUGACAGAUUUAAGUCAUGUUCAUUGGAGCGAGGGGGAGCGAUCGCCGCGGUCUCAAAUCCAUUGAAGAUCAAGUCUCCAUGGAUAUCCGCGACGUAGUUCAUGCUUCCAAAUCUGACCUGAUGGCCAGGGGCGUAGCUAUCGAUCUGCUCCAGAUGGCCAAGCGAGUUGGCCCGCAGUACGAAGCCGCCGAACACGAAAAUCUGUCCCGGGAGGAAGGUUUCUCCUUGGACAGCGUUACUAUGGACGAUUGAAGGGGCCAUCGAACCUUUCGUCGACGGCACAGUGGAACUCUCAACGAAAGCACCAAUGUCGGUGUCAAAACCGGCGGAUCUCGGGUAGAGAGGGCCCAAACCUGGGUAAACAUCGUGUCCCCCGUCUCCUGCAACCAUCGAUCCUAGACGCAUAGUUCGGGACCCCCUACCCGAGAUCCGCCGGUUUUGACACCGACACCCACCACAACUAGAAAUGAUGUGCCCACCACACCACACACGCAAUCGGCCACUAAGAAAAUAAGCAUAUACAAUAGUACAAUGUUAUACAUGAAAGUUAAUUGCAUGGUGCAUCCAAAAAUAAUUGCAUUGUGAAUGAUUAUAUAUUCUCCUAAAAUAUUAGUCACGGGAAAGAGAAAUGAAGGGCAUAUCUCUCCUUGUAUCCACCAGACAUCCCCUCUUUCUACACCACUUUCACGUACGCACACAAACUAUCUCUCGGCCCUCUAAAAGUAUGCAUGCCCACGACACAUUCAUGCAUGACGGUCACUGUAUUUCAAGCUAAAGCACUAUACGGCCACUGGAGUUCAGAAUAUGCUCAUUACGGUCGUCGUAUACAUUCUCGUGGUGAUCAUACGGUAUCUAGCUCACGAUACGUCUUCGUAUUUUCUUGAUGACACUGACGGACUUUGCAUUUGAUGCAGGCUCCGUAUUUUGUUGACGACACUUACGGUCAUUGUAUUUGAAGUGAAAGCACGAUAUGGUCACUGGACUUCAGAAUAAGCUCAUCACGGUCACCACAUACAUUUUGUCGUGCUAACCAACAUGUGGUUGGAUGGUUAGGAGGACAGUGGUUUCUCGAGCCCACCAGGGUUAAAGUCUCGGUGCUCGCAUUUAUCAUGGGUUAAUUUCAGUAUUUUCCGGCGAUGUGCGUUCAGUGGGAGGAGACGUUCCACUCGACUACGAGGCACCUAUGGUGACUUCGUAAAAUCUCAAGAUCAUAUGCUGGCCCACUCUCUCGAAGGUGCUCAUAGGGGUAGGGUUUGCGUGUGUGCGCUUAUAGCGGUGAGUGCUUGCGCGUAUAUAUGAGCCCUUGCGUUUGUACCGUGUUAAAAAAAUACAUGUUGUCGGCGUUCUGGGAACGGGGGUCCCCAGACUUGCCUGCGUGCGGCCCAUAGCAUGGCCAAGCCAGCAGGCCGUACGGCCCAUCUUCAUCAACAAGGCAUCCAAGACCCUCGCGAGGGUCCAAGCUUCGCGAGGUGGACGACGCAAGACCUCCUCUGGAGUAGCCCAACCAGGCAGGCUCGCGAGGAGCGGAGAUAUCAAGGCAGGGCAAAACCUCACGAGGCCCCCGUGACGUGAGCCAUGACGAACGGUACCAGGCGGGCGCCAGCGCGCGCAGCGUCCUUAUUUCCUCUUUGGUGCUAAGGAGGCCAGCGCAGGCGAAGAGUACCGAGGCAUCAGGCAAAUGUUGCUAUAUUGGUGCAACGAGACCAAGACCAGGAGGACGGCAAGACGGAGGUCAUCGUGGAGCCCAAGACGACGUCACCACCAGAGCUUUUCGCAGGCGAAGACCGCUUUUGUCAGGAUAGCUUGUACUAGCUGUCCCCCUUCAAAUUCGCCCGCCAUUGUUGGCUCCCUUCCCGCUCGAUAUUUGGGAAGAGGACCAGGGCCACUAUAAAUAGGUCUAGCCACCACAGCAGGAGAGAGGAUCGAAUCCUGACCCGCACAAGUUCGACCAGCACAAGAACACCUCAACCUCAGGAGGCUGUUCUUCCUUUGUACUGUUCAUCAUCAGCCCAAGAGGCAAUCCACCACCACCACACUGGAGUAGGGUAUUACACCACAACGGUGGCCCGAACCAGUAUAAACCUCGUGCCUUUCUGUGUUGCGAGUUCGUCGAGUUCGUCCGCGAGAUCUUUACGAGCUAGGGCGCAGAUCGGUAGAAGGGAAAGACUUCGCGCGCACCCCAGUGUUUGAACCUUAAGGGUUUGCCGGAACCCCACAUCCGACAUUUGGCGCGCCAGGUAGGGGUGCGCCGGAGCUCCUCUCCACCAACCUGCGCCCCGUGCCGCCGCACUUCGCUCCCAUGGCGGGUGCCCCGCCAUCCACCUCCGCGACACACGUCGGCAGCGGGGAGUCCGGGUACCGAGCCCUGGCCCCCGCCCUGCGGCGAGUGCAGUGGCCAACCAAGUUCAAGCCGAAGAUGCCGCCGCGUUACGACGGAGCGGCAGACCCGGCGCCGUUCCUGCUGGCGUACGAGGAGGCCAUCCUCGAGGCCGGAGGCGACGACAAGAUCAUGGCCAACUGGUUCCCCAUGGCCCUCGCCGGUGAGCCGCGCGCCUGGUUGCUCAACCUCCCGGGAUCAACGGUGGCAUCCUGGGGGAACUCCGCAAUCUCUUCACCAUGCGCUACACGGUGCCGGCGCACCAUGCAGUCGCGGCACUGCUGGGUGGCUCUCAAGCACCGCCUUCAGAUCGCCACGCCAAACCUUUCUUCCGUCAGAUUGGGGCAGCCUUCAAGCGCCCGGGGGCUCCGCCGGGUUGGGCUGCGCCGGAGGCUGACCACACCUUCGGCUCGGAAGACCACCCCGACUCCACCACCGGCUCUGGAAUGCUCCCGAUGCUCUGCAUGCCCACCAUCUGCAAUGUGGCGUUACCAAGACCCUCAUCGACGGCGGCGCUGGCCUCAACUUGCUCUCCGUAGAAGCCUUCAGCCUUCUUCACGUGCCGCCUAAGCGGCUCGGCCUCAGCAAGCCCUUCUCGGGAGUGGGCGGUGGAGCCGCUCACUCUCUGGGGCAGAUCCGCCUCCUUGUCACCUCCGGCGCACGCGACAACUACCGCACCGAGCUGGUGGACUUCGACAUCGCAUGCAUCGGUCUCCCGUACAACGCCAUCCUCGGGUACCCGACUCUUGCUCAGUUCAUAGCGGCGACUCACCUGGCCUACAACCUCAUGAAGAUGCCAGGGAGCAAGGGCGUCCUCACCAUCAAGGGAGACACUAAGGAGGCCGUGACGGCGCUCAGGCUUGCCUUCAAGACCGCGGCAGCAGCGCGGCUAGCCGGCGCCAGUACGCCCGAGGCCAAGGAGACCGUGCCCACCAAGAAGAAGCAACUGUUCACCCAAGACAAGGCGGAGACCAAGCAGGUGCUGGUCAACGAGGAUGGGUCUUCAGGAGCCACCUUCACCAUAGGAACUGGCCUCGACCCAGGACAAGAAGAAGCUUUAGUGAGGUUUUUGCGCGCGAACAAGGAGAUAUCCGCGUGGGAGCCCAAUCAGCUGGUAGGGGUCCCGAGACAGGUGAUCCAGCAUCAUCUAAGGGUAUGCCCCAACGUACGCCCCGUGAAGCAGCGAGCAAGACGGCAGCCACUGAGAAGCAGGCCUUCAUCGUCCAAGAGACACGCAAGCUGGAGGCGGCAGGUACCAUCCGAGAAGUUUGAUACCCCGAAUGGUUGGCGAACCCCGUCGUGGUACCAAAGAAAGGCGGGAAGGAAUGGAUGUGCGUCGACUUCACCAACCUUAACAAGGCUUGCCCCCAAGUUCUGUUCCCACUUCCACGCAUUGAUCAUAUCGUCGACUCCACCGCCGAAUGCCACCUGCUAUGUUUCCUGGAUGCAUUCUCAGGAUACCACCAAAUCAAGAUGGCGGUGGAGGAUGUGGAGAAGACAGCCUUCCUGACACCAUGCGGGGUGUAUUGCUACACCUGCAUGCCCUUCGGGCUGCGCAACGCGGGCGCAACCUUUCAGCGGUUGAUGCACAUCGCUUUGGGGUGGCAGCUCCGCAGAAACACAGAGGCUUACGUUGAUGACAUAGUGGUCAAAUAUCGCGAGGCGAGGACGCUGAUUCAAGACUUGGAGGAGACCUUUGAGAGCUUGCGCCAAGUGAACUUGAGGCUUAACCCCGAGAAGUGCGUGUUUGGCGUCCCCUCCGGCAAGCUGCUAGGGUUCCUCGUAUCCCACAGAGGGAUCGAGGCGAACCCGAAGAAGAUCAAGGCCAUCGAAGACAUGAGUCCACCGCAGACCCUCAAGGAGAUGCAAAAGCUAGCAGGGCGGGUGACCGCGUUAGGGCGUUUCAUCUCCAAGCUAGGCGAGCGCGCCUUACCCUUCUUUAAGCUCAUGAAGAAGAAGGGCCCGUUUGAGUGGACCCCAUAGGCCGACUGGGCCUUCCAAGACCUCAAGAAAUACCUCACCAGCCCUCCGGUGAUGGUGGCACCGCGGCCUCUCGAGCCUCUGGUGCUCUACCUUGCCGCCACACCGUACUCCGCCAGCGCGGCGCUGGUGGCGGUUCGGGAGGAGCGCCAAGACAAGGGUAUGCCGCGCCAAGCCAGAGCAGAUGCAGCGCGGGGACAGGAUGGCGCAGCAAGGCCGUCGGCGGCUCAAGACCAAGCUCAGCGGGGCAACAUCGCAGAAGCUCCUGAGGACGGUUGGGUCUCAGGAGACCCACCACCUCAGGAUAUGCCACAAUCUCCGCAGGACCCGAGCCUCGACAGUGUGCCAGCCCUCGUCGAGCAUCCCAUGUACUUCGUCAGCACCGUAUUGCGGGACACGAGGGCGUGCUACCCCAUGCCGCAAAAGCUCCUGCUCGCACUCUUGGUGGCCUCACGCAAGCUGUGGCACUACUUCCAGGGCCACCCCAUCAAGGUUGUCUCAGCCUACCCAUUGGAGAGGGUACUCAGGAGCCCCAACUCAGCCGGAAGGGUUGCUGAGUGGAACAUCGAGCUGCAAGCAUUCCAGCUGGAGUUCAGCACUACCAGGGUCAUCAAGGGAGCCGCGCUCGCCGAUUUUGUGGCAGAAUGGACAGACGCCCCGGCUCUUGAGGAAGGAGAAGACCGGUCCACCUCCCCAGGAAGCGAGGCACCAGACGGCUGGGUCAUGUAUUUCGAUGGCGCCUUCAUGCACCAGGGCGCAGGGGCUGGAGCAGUGCUCAUCUCGCCCACUCAGGACAAGCUCUACUACGCCGUGCACCUCUGUUUUCAGCACGGCGAGAAGGUCUCCAACAAUAUCGCAGAAUACGAAGGCCUCAUAGCUGGCCUGAAGGUUGCGGCGGCUCUAGGGGUGAAGCGCUUAACCAUCAAAGGCGACUCGCAGCUCCUCGUCAACUUCUCCAACAAGGUGUAUGGGCCGAAGGACGAGCAUAUGGAGGCCUACCUCGCGGAGGUGCGCAAUAUGGAGAAGCAGUUCUUGGGCCUUGAGCUACAGCACGUGCCCCCGGGCACCAACAAGGAAGCCGACGACAUCGCCAAGAGAGCAUCCAAGCGGCAACCGCAAGAGCCCGGUGUCUUCGAGGAGCAGCUCUUCAAGCCAUCGGCUACGCCACCUCUUUCAAGCACGACCCAGCCUCGGGAGGAGCUCCCACAGCCUCCGGCCACAGGAGCCCCGGCCUGUGGCCCGACCUCAGGAGCUCGGCUGCUCUUGCCGCUCGUACCCCAGGAGGAAUGCUGGACCAAGGAGUUCAAGGAGUACCUGACGCACGGGACGCUGCCGGAGAAGGAAGAGGACGCGGAGCGCGUGGCACGGCAAGCCACAGCAUACUGUAUCCAAGACGACGAGUUAUACAGGAAACGGCCAAACGAUGUCACGCUGCGCUGCAUAUCCAGUGACCAAGGAAGGGAGUUGCUGAUUGACAUACACGGCGGGGACUGUGGACACCACUCAUCGUCACGGACCCUUGUCGGCAAGGUGUUCCGCAGUGGAUUCUACUGGCCUACAGCACUUAACGAUGCAGACGAGCUGGUGAAGUCCUGCGAAGCCUGCCAAUUCCACGCCAAGCAAAUCCAUCAGCCUGCUCAGGGCCUCCAAACCAUUCCGCUCACAUGGCUGCUCGCGGUCUGGGGGCUGGACAUUCUAGGCCCGUUCCCCCAAGCGCCAGGGGGCUACCGCUAUCUCUACGUCGCCAUCGACAAGUUCACCAAGUGGGCGGAAGUGGAAGCCGUCCGUACCAUUCCAGCCGGCUCUGCUGUCAAGUUCAUCAAGGGCCUCGUGAGCCGCUUCGGGGUCCCCAACCGCAUCAUCACAGAUAACGGCUCGCAGUUUACUAGUAACCUCUUCAAAACCUACUGUGCUAACCUUGGAACGCAGAUCUGCUACGCUUCGGUGGCCCACCCCAGGAGCAAUGGUUAGGCUGAACGCGCCAACGCUGAGGUCCUGAGGGGCCGCAAGACCAGAACCUUCAAGAAGAAGCUAGAGGCCUGCGGCAAGGGCUGGCACGACAAGCUCCAGUCCGUGCUGUGGUCCAUCCGCACCACAGCUACCAAGCCAACGGGCGAGACCCCGUUCUUCCUCCUCUACGGAGCUGAAGCAGUCCUCCCUCACGAAGUCAAGCAUCGCUCCGCGCGGGUUCUGGCAUUCGAUGAAACGCAGCAGGACGCCAUGCGGGGGAUGGAUCUCGUCCUGGGGGAGGAACGUCAUUGCAAAGCUGCAUUAAGGGCGGCAAGGUAUUACCACUGCCGCAACAUUCGCUCCAGGACGCUCGAGAUGGGUGACCUGGUCCUGAGGCGGGUCCUCUCCAGGGAAGGGCUACACAAGCUUUCGCCCAUGUGGGAGGGCCCGUUCAGGGUCGUCCACAUCUCCAGGCCUGGCACCGUGCGCCUGGAGACGCAAGAAGGGACACCUAUCCAAAACGCCUGGAACAUCCAGCACCUCAGGAAGUUCUACCCAUGAAGCAAGGCCCAGAGCCUAUGAAGCAAGGCCCAGAGCCUGUGAAGAAAGGCCCAGAGCCUGUGAAGAAGGCCCGGUGUCUGUGAAGAAUCGCCGCCCGUGACACUCUCACGUAAUAAUGAGUUGGGGCUGUACACGCCCCGGAGUCUCAGGAGCGCCGGCCUCAGGCCCUGGGGCUCCCUCCCAUGCCUAGUGGACAGCACUUAGCUCCGCGCUGGUGAGAAGACUUGAAGACUAGAUUAGGUGCCGGACGCGGCUUUUCAUUCGCUUUCCGUAGUUGGCUCGCUUUUCCUUAAUCGAAGUUGCUCUUGGUGUUCGUUGCUGAUUUGAUUCCCUAGCCUUUUACCGCAUUUUUCGGCUAUGGUUUGCUCAUGUUCUCUCUCUCGCAUGCCUCGCGAGGGGGCUAGGCAGGUGCCCUCGCGAGCAUUUUUCUUCUCUCCGCCUUCUCGCGUGAACAUUUUUCUUCUCUCUGCCUUCUCGCGAGCCACCCUCGUUCGAGCCUGAAAGCUGGCACAUCCCUCCUAAUCCGUGCCCCUCGGGUACCGUGAUACAAAGCGCCAAAUCAAGGCUUGGGUGGAUGGCAGGUCCUUUAGUGCACCCCCCUAACGAAUUUUUUGCAGUUUCUGAGCAACACAGACACCUCGUGAGGGAAAGGGCGUCCCAAACGCGCCAGGUUAAGUUAUCUUUGCAUAAAAUAACAACACGGCAUGGGAAUAACACGCACAGUGCAUUAACCAAAGAACCACUGUCCGAUACACUCCCCUCUGGGCCCAUACUGGUUUCGUUUUCUGAUGCAGGGAAAAAGAAAAAGCUAAAAAAAGCGGCGUUGCAACAAUCUGUGGAGGCAGGCCCUCAGCGAUGCCCCGAGCCUAGCCAGACCCCUCCUCGCGCUUCACGGAGGUGCGAGGACGAGAUGACCCGCUGCCUCCUUCAAAGCGGGCGCGGCGGCGCGACGGCUGGUCGUAGUCACCGGAGGAAGAGCCGCCGUAGCUGGAGAAGACGCAGUCGCCACUGAGGGCAGGCUCGCCCUCAUCCUCAUCACGACCAUCACCAAGGCCGAGCACCUCCUCACCGUCGUUCGUCUCGGGGCAGCACCCGGUGCGGCGACCAUCUUCCCCGAACACCCUCACAUAGAGGGUCGAUCCACCGUCAUACUUGAAGUGAGCAUGCACCGCCGGCCCAGGCCGCGCGCGCGGGCAAACGUCUGCCGGCCGCGGGCCAGGGCUAUGUUGCCCGCGGCGGAAGUCUCGACCGCAACCCAAGAGGCCUUGCUGCAGCAGUCGCCCGCCUGCAGCCAGAGUCCGCCCGGACCAGAGGCCGGCAGUUCACCGGCGAAGAAGCACGGAAGUUGGAGCCAGUUGCCGGCCGGGUUCUCCGACCAGAUAACAAACUCCGGCGACAUCUCCGCCGUGUGGAAGCGCGGACGAGGAGGCCACGCCACCAUAGCACGCCUCCCCUCAUCAACUGGACCGCCAUGGUUGGGACGAUCCCCUCCACAUGCCGUGGCGCCGCCUUGACGGUGGGCCACGGCGGGGGUCGCGGCGUGCUUGCGCGGAUGGCCGCGAUCGUGCUUGGGCGCCGGGGCCCUCGCGAGGGGCCUUCCCCUUCUCGGCGGCAGAGAACUUCCUUCGGGGCACCAUCGGAGGCACUGCGAGCAACGAAGCAAAGGAGGAGCAAGCAAGCGAGGAAGAGAUGAGCAGCGGGGGCUCCGCCCCACUCCCCAUUUAUAGCAAGAGGAGGCCAACCAGCGUCUCCCACGAUCGCAGGUAAUGAUGGUUUUCCUUGCAUGUCGCAGGGACUUGUCAAGUCGUGCAGUCGCCGAGGCAGCGUGGGGAAGCGGAGGCGCCCACGUCCAAUCAACCGCGCGUCAACCGAGGCUGCAGGCUUUUGGGGCCCGCGGUGCUCCGAACUUGACCCUUGGCUUCGCCGCGAAGCCAAGCCCGAGCGCACCUUGGGACCGGGGGCUACUGUCGGCGUUCUGGGAACGGGGGUCCCCAGACUUGCCUGCCUGCGGCCCACAGCGUGGCCAAGCCAGCAGGCCGUACGGCCCAUCUUCAUCAACAAGGCAUCCAGGAUCCUCGCGAGGGUCCAAGCUUCGCGAGGCGGACGAUGCAAGACCUCCUCUGGAGUAGCCUAACCAGGCAUGCUCGCGAGGAGCGGAGAUAUCAAGGCAGGGCAAAACCUCAUGAGGCCCCUGUGACGUGAGCCAUGACGAACGGUACCAGGCGGGCACCAGCGCGCGCAGCGUCCUUAUUUUCUCUUUGGUGCUAAGGAGGCCAGCGCAGGCGAAGAGUACCGAGGCAUCAGGCAAAGGUUGCUAUAUUGGUGCAACGAGACCAAGACCAGGAGGACGGCAAGACGGAGGUCAUCGUGGAGCCCAAGACGGCGUCACCACCAGAGCUUUUCGCAGGCGAAGACCGCUUUUGUCAGGAUAGCUUGUACUAGCUGUCCCCCUUCAAAUUCGCCCGCCAUUGUUGGCUCCCUUCCCGCUCGAUAUUUGGGAAGAGGACCAGGGCCACUAUAAAUAGGUCUAGCCACCACAGCAGGAGAGAGGAUCGAAUCCUGACCCGCACAAGUUCGACCAGCACAAGAACACCUCAACCUCAGGAGGCUGUUCUUCCUUUGUACUGUUCAUCAUCAGCCCAAGAGGCAAUCCACCACCACCACACUGGAGUAGGGUAUUACACCACAACGGUGGCCCGAACCAGUAUAAACCUCGUGUCUUUCUGUGUUGCGAGUUCGUCGAGUUCGUUCGCGAGAUCUUUACGAGCUAGGGCGUAGAUCGGUAGAAGGGAAAGACUUCGCGCGCACCCCAGUGUUCGAACCUUAAGGGUUUGCCGGAACCCCACAUCCGACACAUGUCAUGAUUAUACGGUCACUGGCUCACCCGUACAACUCCGUAUUUUGUUGAUGACACAAUUAAUUGACCAGUCAAACGUUCCACGUGGCGUACCUAGUGUUGCACCAUCGGGGCGCGUAACCGUGGGGCCCACCUGUCAGCCCAUAUAUGAAAGAAAGAAAUGGUAGUUUGAGUCUGUACUGUGUUAAUAAAAUACAUUUUAGGGUGAUCAUACGGUCACUGGCUCACCAUACAGCUCCGUAAUUUGUUGAUGACACGAUCAAUUGACCAGUCAAACGGUCCACAUUCAGCAGCGCACAUUACUAUAGGGCCCACCCGUCAGCGCGUAUAUGAAGGACAGAAAUGGUAAUAAAUUAGUGGUCGGUGGGUACUCGAAGUUGUGAGACCUCUGGUUAGUAGUCGCCGGUGGUGGGGGGCGCGUUGAUUGGGCGGUGGGGUGGGGAUCGCCGGAGAAAAAGCUCGGCGCAGGGGGGCCUAGAGGGAUGGCCGGUGCGGCGGCGGACCAGCGGUGAGGAGUGGUUUCGGGGCGGGAGGGGCGGCGUGGCGGCCCGGGGCGGCCGCGGGCGGCGGGGGCCGGCGGUUCGGCCGGUGGUGGCUGGCGGCUCAGGGGGUGGAGUUUGAUGAUAAACUGCAGGCCCUUGAUUUUGUAUCCAAUGGCUGGAAAAUCUAAUAACCAGAGAUGAAAAAGUCAGUCGACUGACGUGUAGCCUCACCCCACACGUACACAUGCACGCACGCAAGACACGCACGCAUGCAGGCGUGCAACACUGACACGUACACAUAACGAACACACGCACGCAUGCAGGCGUGCAACACUGACGCGUACACAUGCACUCACGAACACACACACGUACACACACAUGCAUGCAACACUGAAACGUACCCUUGCACGCACGCAACACUCGCACGCCUGCAUGCACACAGCACACGACGCAAGACACACGCUCAACCUAUAUGUGCAUGCACCCUUUGUUAAGGACAUGGAUUGUUACGGGUAUUAAUCUAUCUUAUCUGUGAUAAGCAGAACAUUGAUGUUUGUAGCGGUCUUUAUGAAUCACAACGUAUCGAACGGGCUAUCAACAUAGUAGGCUUAUCUACAUGAAAAGGAUGAUGUCACACUCAACGAACAAUCAUCGGUUUAUGAAAUGCCCGCUUCUGACCGCCCUGGCCCACCAAAGGUUCCUCUGAUGUGCGCUGCCUGCGUUGGGUCACUGACAUGCAGGCCAUGUACCCAAAGAGCCCACACGUCAGUGGAAGAACGGCGCGCUGUCCUACGUCAGAGUCGAGGGCGCCACUCGCUGCACGCCCGGCUGAACACGCCUCCUUGCCGCAUUCAAACGCCUCCAUGAAACCCACCCGUGUGGAAGCCGAGAAACCCACUCUGGACACACGUCCGUUCAUGACCGGGCCGGCAUUAAACGCAACGCCGGCCGAGCUCCUCCCGUCCGCCGUCUAUUUAAUCUCCUAUUUAAACGAGGCCAAACACCGGCCAAGAAUCGCACACCUCCACCGCUCCCCUAUCUCCUCCUUCACCAUUUUGUCCACUCUUACAAUGGCUUACGAAGAGUAGUUAUUCCGCAUCCAAGCCGGCUGGGUGGCCCACCGAGCCCGCCGGAUACGAGCUAUGCAGCUCGCUGAUCCACCUCCCUCCCCUCGCCCGACGGAGCCAGUUGCCGCCCCAAGCCGGCGCGCGGUUCAGCAACUCUCGCCGCUCCAGGCCAGCUCGACGAGGAGCGGCACACGGGCGUCGUUGCUGCCGUCCACGCCGCCACCUCGUACCGCGUCUCCCGUUUCUGUGGCCGAGACUCCCAUACCGGCGGCCGCGCCAUGCAAGCAGCGACAGAAGCUGGGUGCGCGGAGAGCGACGAGUCGGUGGCCAGCGCCUCCGCGUCCGCCGCCAUCAUCUAGGAGAAGUAGAACACGGGAGGCCGCCGCCGCUUGGGUCCCAUGAAGGCCACCACGGAGGCGACGCGGCGUACACAGCAGGUGUCUUGCUGGAUCCUUUUGUUGCGAGGACCUUCGUCGACCCUGCAUAUACCUCCGGGGCUCCCGGCAGUCCGGUGAUCAUGCUGCCGGACAUGAGGAACACAAAUCGAUCGGCGGGCGACCAUUUAGGCCCGGUAUUAUAUACCUGUGCUGUCUAGAACUAGUAUCGCAUAGUUUAUUUGAAUGUAAUGAAAUCCGUCAUGUUUGUAUGAAAAUCCGGUAUCUUAUAUGAUUUCUGUCGUUGUUUAUAUGAAAUAUCGCCGUGUUUGCGUGAAUUUCGUCCGGUUGGUUGACUUGCUGUCACAAUGUGUGCGGCUACGGUUGGAUGGCGUAAUUUGCGGGUCGCCGGUCGGUCUGCGGGCGGCUCGGGUGGCGUGGUGGGACAAAAAGAACACAGCUCGUGUGAGCUCGUCUCCAACAUGCACGCUGGAGGAUGCAUGAGAACCCGAGCCAUUCCUCGUUCAUCGGUGGCAAAGGCACCGGUGGACAAAAGGGUCGCCAAUAUUUUGGCUACCCCGAGCAAGAUCCAAACAGCCCCUCCCAACAGAUUCAAAUCCCUCGUUCGCCGUGGAAUUUUGCCAUGUGUUGUUUUCAUGGACUAGCAAGAUGCCCGUGCAUUGCACGGAACAUCAAGAUGCAUUUUUUACAAAACACCUGUUGUGAUUGACCCAUGCAGGAGUAAUCCCAUUUUGUAGAAACUAAUGAUUGCUCGAGAAUUUUAUCGGACUCCAUUUUUGUAUACAAGGCCACAAACCCAUAUUACAGGUACCAAGGCAAAAAUUAAUGUCUUCUAACUCAAUGUUGCAAGCCACCUUGUUUCCUUGUUUGCCGUGUAAAUUAAUGUGUAUUCUUCUCUUUCAUGCACAUCAAGCCAAUGCUCACACUCCUGCAUGCAUGCAAGGGAUAAUUAAUGUCCUCCUUUGCUAGUAGUGCUACGAGGCAAACACCAUUAAUAUUGCAUCGAUUAGUGUUAGUGGCCUUGUAUAUCUACAAAUUGUAAUUUUGAUAGUGGCCUUGUAUAUAAAAAUGGAGGGAGAAAGAUGAGAGAUAAGGUGAGGAGGAGUGGGGCGUGGUGGUGACUGGUGGUAGGACUGGGCGGAGGCAUGGGGAUGGACGGCGCAUUAUGUCGUUUGUAUCUCUAUAGUCCCUCUCACACACACCCACGUAGGUGGGGGACGUGCACGAAGAGAAGAGGUGCACGCACGGCGCACGUACUCCCGUCUCUUUCCCAACCACACCCGCGCGAGUACACGGUGGAGCUCAUUUCUAUACGAAAAGGCAGCCCACGUGGUAAUUUGACACGUGUACUGGUUGUCCACUAGAUGGAGGGAGGAUCGUCUACCAUGGGUGAACAAACAAAUUGUGACUUGACGCGUUAUGUUAAAAAAGAGGCAAACCAUGUGGGGCCUACCUUAGAGGCAAGGCUCUAUACACUGGAGUACUUUUCAUGUGUCCCGUCAACUCGCAGAACGAGGAGAAGCUUGCUUAGUACGCCGUCUCCCCCGCCCACGGGCGCGGUGGCUCGCAGGAUGAGGUGAAGCUUGCUUACUACGCCUUACGCCCGCUCCCUCGCCCACGCGCGUGGUGGCUCGCAGGACGAGGAGAAAAUUUUACUAGUCCCUCCGUUUACUCCUCGUCCCUACUACCUUGGUUAGAGAGAUUAUCAUAUUGUUUGGAAUAUAUAUGUCCUUUAGUACUCCCUCCAUUUACUUAUACAAGGCCACUAUAAAAAAAUACAUUUUGCAUCUAUACAAGGCCACAAAUAGUAAUCAAGACAAAAGUUACUACUCCCUCCUUUCCAGUUUAUGGCUCAAUUUCAAAAUCUCUCCAACCAAGGUAGACGGUGAGUGGUCGAAUUAAUUUCGUACUCCUAGUUUGCACAAGUAAUUAGUACGCUCGUUUUUCUCAAGAAGUUAUGUUUACCGAGGCAUUAAUUAGAACGAAUGCAUGAAUGACCACUAAAUUUCCAUGAACUUCUACAUGCAUUGGUGAGUUUUCUCUUGACACUGCUUGCAUCGGGUGAUCUAACACACCUCAAAAUCCAACAUGUGAUGGUACUACUAGUAGUAGUAGAAUUGAGACUUAUAAAACAGAAAAACGAAUGUUUUUAGAUGAGCCCUAUAAACCCUAGUGGGUACGUACUCCGUAAAAUCAGAUUUUCCCAAAACUAAGUCGCUCAACCUUUAUUUGCUUGUUUCCCUUCCUGCCUCCUUGCCUCGAACAGACUAUGCCAAACUCCCCUGCCUGCCGCGCGGGAAAAGACCCGCCCUCACCUUUUUUUAGUCCGGGUUUGUAUCGAUGGAUCGCGCGAAGCAGCAAAAACCCAAGCCGUGUCUUGUACUCCUCCGUCGACGCUCGCUUUCAUGAAUUUUGUACUUCCUGUCGCCGAUAUGUGGGACAUAUAGCAACCGGGUCGACGUGUCAAGCACCAAAUAACAGUGCAGAAUAGCAGGGGGGACGCACCCCAGUAGUACUAGUAAUGAGCAAUGAGACGUCAAAUCACAAUGCCGCACCUUCCUAGAUGGACGAAGCAACCAUUAUUUCACACUUCGGUUCGCCAUCAUCUCACACCACGUAGUAUUGCUUCUGCCUCAAGAGGGACACACGCAUCGCCUUGGUACAUCAUGACACGUGGGACCGCAUGACAGGCCAUGCUCCCCCGCCGAUCGCUCGGUAAAAUCACCUCAUUUUUACUACUAUACUUCCUCCGUAUCCGUUUACAUGGCAUGCACGUCCUUCUAGGUUGAGAAUUUAACUGGCUAUAUAUGUGAUGAACAGUAUAUGUUUAGAAACUACAUCCGCUUAAUAAUCCAAUGAUAUACUUUUUGUGACAUAGUAACUCAGAUUUAGUUAGUCAAAUGGAUGACCUAGAACUACGUGCAUGCCCUAUAAACCGAGACGUCUAAAAAAACGAGACGGAGAGGGUAGUUCAGUACGUAUCUUUUUAGAUCAAUAUAGUCGGGAUUCACCAAGGAGCAAAACCAAGUGGUAGGCUGCACCUGGCGUGUUGGCGUAGCAACUCAAGCAGGGCCAGUCCGCACACGAAAUGGCGACACACUUAACUGGACCCCUUUGGCCGACAUGUGGCUCAUCCACCGUCUUGUUCCACAUGCGAUGCACCAAAUUAUAGUUCGGAGCAGCGGUUGGAAUUGGAGGCACCCCGGUCGUAGCGCCGCAGUAGUAGGAAAUGAGCAAUGAGGGGUCAAAUCACAAAGUCCCACCUUUCCCGCAUUAAGCUGGACGGACGAAGCAACCAUCAUUUCACUCUAGGGAGCAAGAGCAUAAAGAAAAGAGAAAACCAAUGAUGCGUGCGGCAGCUACCUAGGGCACCCUAGGGUAGGGGUCUCCACUACAGAUCAUUUUUUUGAAAGCGCCUCCACUACAAAUCGGCUUCUCCCUUGUCCUCUUGAAGAAAACCGAUGAUGCGUGCAGCGGUAGGGUUUGUAGGAGUACUACUAGGGCGUGCGGGGCCACGUCGUAGUAAACGGGAGAGGGAUUGAGUUCGAGUCGACGCCUUAAAUAUGUGUGGGCCGCUUGGUUUUAGGGGAACGAGGCAGCAUUUUGGGUUCGGGGACGAGUGGAGAUAUAGUACGUACAAAAAAUUGUGGACGUAGGUUCGACCGAAAGGCAAUGAUGCAUGGGCCCUGCAUUUUGAUAUACCCGGGGCGCGUGAAAUUUGCUACUCUACUCAAAACUAGGAAGGUACACAUGCAUUGAACGCAUGAGAUUUCAAAACCAAAUUAUGAAUAAAUACACACUAUAGCAUGUAAAGCUUUGAGUCAUAUAUGCAUGAUGUAGAUGUUCGUUUAGUUCUUAUAGUUCAUCUCAUUCAAAAUCAAUUAGUUUUACAAAAUGUUAAGAUUCAUGGGGUUGUGCAUUGUAAAGCAUAAAGUAAAAAACAAAUAAUGGCAAUUCAUUUAGAAAAAAAAAUCAAUUAUGAUACGGAAGAUUCUAGAACAAAGGAGAAGUGCUUGUGUUUUGAGGUUUGUGCAUUAUGCUUAAGUUCAACCAUGGAGUCUUCUAAAUUGUACAUGUGGCAGAUCUGGUGGAAUGUUGAUGAUAUCCAACGGCCAGUAGUGCUCGGAUUUGCCAUCUCUGCACUGUCGGAUUAGCUUCAUCCAGUGACCAUCUUUCAAGUUGUUCUUGUGCCAUAGUUGCAUGUCUUGGAAAAAAGCUACUAGUGGGUUGUACUAGCUAUUUAGGAAUAGAAGAUGUAUACAUGGAAGUUGUAGGGAAAGAGAUGACAUGGAGUAUCUCAAUUCCUAUGAGUAGGGAUUGGAAAAGAGAUGUCAUUUGGUUGACAUCAUAGGAACUUUUCUAUUGAAUCUAGAGAUGACAUGUAUCUCAAUUCCUAUGAGGAGGGAUUACAAAAGAGAUGUAAUUUGGUUCAUAUCAUAGGAACUUUUCUAUUGAAUAUACGUUAAUGUUUAUUUUCCUUUGAAAUUAUGGGAGUAUAGGAAUCCAUUCAUAUGAACCAAGUGGCUCUAAAGCUAUAGAAAUGAUAUCAUGUUUAUUUCCUUUGAAAUGUGGAGUAUAUGAAUCUAUUCCUAUGAACCAAUUGGCUCUAAAGGAAAAAAUCCUAUAAAAAUCAUAUCAUAUAGAGUUCCUAUCAUGUUCCUCCACACCAAAGGAUGGUUGAAAUUGCUGCAGGUGAUACGAUGGUCUUUCUUUGUAGACUCCUCCCCCAUCUUUAUAGUUACCUCUCGAAGAUUAAUGAAAUGAUAUAUACAGGGUAUUCUACAUGUGCAAUUUGGUACACGAAAACUCGAUAAAAGUUUGCGAGGUUUGGAUUUUCAAUAAAGCUAUAUGUACUGCAUUUUGGAACGGAGGGAGCAUACGACAGUUGCUAACACUCACGUGGAAGAUUUGUGUGUAGGAGGAGUGGCUGUUCUGUUAAAUGACAUGGCAAAACUGACACUGUCGGAUGCCGAUCUAACGGUUCUUACGGUGUUCGUCCGGAAAAGGCUUGUGGCGAACGUUUGUCGGAUAAUGUUUACGGACACAUGAAUUGCAUUGAUACGUGCCCCCCUCUCUCUCACGCACACGCACCCUCCCGAGUCCUCUCGCACCCACCGUCUAUCUGCAGGUAGACGUCACACACAUAAUGCUCUUCACACCCUACCCUUAGAACUUCUAAAAAACAAAAGACAUCGCGCACAUUUUAUUUUAGCUCACACGUCAAACACUUAUACUAUUACUCUUGUGGCGAACGUUCUUUGGGCAUAGUAUAUUGUACUCUCACGAAGAGAACCGGUGCACGCACGCACUAGUUCUCUCACACCCACUCGCGGGUACAUGUAGGAGCGCAUUUUUUUGAAGCUGGUACAACAAAAUCACUCCACUAUAUAUAUAAGCAGGAGCCUUAGUGCUUGCUUUACUAGGGUUCCUCUCGUUCACUCUCUCAUGCUCUCCAUAUCUAAGCAAGACAUAGGUGGCCACACUCUCUCUCAGCUCACGGCUGGUCACAAAUCCGGCCGGACAACCUCGACCAGGGCAGGGGUGUAUGUGCGUCGUUCACGCUGUCGUCGGCGGUGAGGGAGGAGACCAACGGCUGCCCGCGUGUCCCGAUCGGCGGCCGUGCCGUUCUCUCCGAGAGAGCGCCGGCUCCGGAGGACCUCCGACCCCUUCUUCCUCCCUGCGGUAUUGUGGCCAAGAUGCGGCCUCCCGACGCCGUCUUUGCCACAUGCCGACGACCCUCAGGUAUAUAUUCCUUCGAAACCUGCCUUGCUCUACUACCCCAGCUCCCCACUUGGCUUCGUGUGGAUCUUUUUCUACUUCUGUCCGCUGUUCCAAAGCCACCUAGACUUUUACUAUUAUUAGAGGUAAAGCUAGCUCAUACAGUCGACUCUAAGAGUUGGUUCAAACAGGGAAGAAAGUGGGAAAGCUGUAGCAUGAAUCUAGGACUUGGUUCUAAGAGGAAACGGGGGAAAGUAGUAGAUACUGGCUACCCAACCGGUCUCUUGGUUGAAAUGACGAAGGGUGGGGGGAAGUGGACCUAUCUCUUGGUUGCAAAAGGAAAGAAAGUGACGGGUGUUGGGGGACAACGCAAAUGACAAUAAGCAGGUCUAGAUUUCCUGUGCUCACAUAGGAAAAUGUCGCUGAGGAGAUAAAAAAUGGGACAAAUGCAGACAUGCUGCCUGAGUGUUUGCCGCUCUCGGCAACCACAUCUGCCUCACCACUUUAUGCCUCUGCUGUCCCUACGCCCAUAUCGCUACCGUUAAUGUAAAAUCACAUGAAGCAUUAAGCAAUGCCACCUAAUGUCACUAUAAGUAAUGGUCUAGUGCCGUCGAUAAAUUGAAGCAAUGCCACCACCAUUUUAUGAAGUGCUUUCGUCUUGCUUUAUUUCCCAUGAAUUGUGUUUUUACAAUUACACUUAAAUCUCACACCGCUAACAUUGCUUCAUCCCAGUGGAACUGCACAAAUUUGAUUGCACAUUUACUGACCAUGUGCUACUCUCAUGACAGUAAUACUAAUGCUAUUGUUCUGCAUGUUAAUCUAGUGGCAGUGUUGAUGUGAUGUGAUGCUACUUACUUAAGGACACUUUCAUACUGUCAAUCUAGUGCCAAUUAUAACACAAUAGAUGCUGCUGUUAAUCAUACGCCACUGCAAAUAUCUGUCACUGUUUAAAUAACCGUAUUUCGUAUUUGCGCAAACAGGGAUGUCUGUCUCCAUAUUGUUUCGGGAUGUCUGUCUCCAUAUCGUUUCUAUCCGCGCAACCAAAAGCACACUCCUCAGUUUUAGUAGAACUGCGCAAAAUGAGAUGGCUAUCCCUCGUUGUCGUCGUCUAACCACCCGUCUUCCAGGUAUUCCUACAUUGGUAGUUACUAGGUAGAAUGACCAAUGCAAUAUAAAAGAAGUUGAUUCGUACAUUUUACUUCCUGGUUGCAGUGUAGGGACGAGCGAAAACAACUGCAUCCUAGUCCGGAAUGCACUUUCUACCAGUUCAUCCAUGGAGCGAGGACUAGCUGGCACGGCUGCACGGCGGUUUUUUGGACAGGUGCGCGGACAAGAGGCAUUGUGGUCUGCUUAUUUCUGCAAAUAGCGGUGCUUAAAUUUAGUGGAAUGCACAAGAAUUUCAGCUGGUCAGUACACUACAUGGUUCAGUUCAGCAUUCCAGCUGAGAACACAACUAUAAUUGGUUAUUCUGGAAUGAGAGAACCUAACCCUGGAUGGUGGCAACAAGAAAAAACCAGAGUGAACUCCAGGAAAUUUAAGCCUGCCGGGAGGCCCUUUGCUCAGAGAAGCCUUGCUUGUUUUUUCCUGAUUUGUAAACCUUCUCACAACUUUGUCUUUUGCUGUGAACUAGUAUAUGUUUGUUAUGUUCUAUGAAUCAUUGAGAUGUAUAAAAUUGCUUAACUUAUGCUUUUCAAGUUUUUUAUGAAGCCGAGUUUAAUUUGAGUGUUCCACAUGAACGAUGGACUAGCGUGUGAACGUUUGGAAUUUACAUUGUGGCCUCAGUUAACUACAUGAACCACUGUAACAAGAUACAUAGUUGCUUAUAUGUUAGACAACAGAUUGUUGAUUGUUAGCUGGUCGAUAGCCUAGUGUUGAAGCGAGCUGAGCCAAUGUGCCGUGUUUUGCACAACUGCUUACAAGUGGGGUAGCACCAACAGUGUUUACAAGUACUUAUGUAUACGUCAGCGCACAGUUCUCAAACGAGUACUCUAUUUCAUCAAAACACACGCUGCUCGUAUGAUAAAACUAGUGAGGACACAUCUGUUUCGGCAACAAUUACGAUGAUUCACGGGCACACAAAAGUAGCAACAGUUCCCAUAGACGGAUUCAAACAGAGUACUAGCCCCAGAGGGCUCGAUAACAGGCAAGGUUUGAAUAAUUAGACAGAAUCCAAACUACUAUUAAACACUAGCUGGGGCAAGUAUUUCAUGCCUCGAUCUAAUUUGGGCUGGACACAAGACGGACCUUGCCAUGAACAUCAUCAAGGACGUCCGGCAGCAGCUCAAUCCUGUGAACCUUCAUGAAGACAACCUUGUGGCCUUGCCACUCAUAAACUUGUUUGUGGAGGCAUGCCACGUCAUCUUCCUGCGUAAGCUUGACAAGAAUAGUAUGCCUCACAAACGAAGGAGUAGCUUUGAACUUCUUGUGCUUCAGUACACCCUGGACAACACGCCUGACAACAGUGAGGCUGGAAUACAACUCUUCAUUGGUAUAAGCGCAAAUGGCUUCCAGGAUCCAACGGCCUAAAAACUCUGUUUUCCCAGUGCGUAUAUUCAGGUCAUCCGCCUCAUAGCGAGUGACAUGUACAACCACACAAUCCUUGUCUGCAUCAGGGCUCUAAUUGAAAUAGAAACAAAUUAUGAAUUACUUUCCAGUAUAAGAAACACAAGUUAUUUAAACCACUAUGUAUAGCAUGGCAUCGAAGCUAAUAAAAUUUUGCAUUAUUCAUCACCACAUACUUAGAUGAAAAACCAUAAUCGAGAUCUGCAAAGAAGAAAAUCACCUUGGGCAGCUCAGCGGGGGGGGGGGACACAUCGUCGAUGGGGGAAAACUGCUCCUGCAGUGCCACGGGGGCUGUAGCCUCAAACAGGGCGUUGACCAUCUCAGUAGUGGCCGUGAGCGUAUGUGGGGUCGGCUCGGUGGCUGCCUCCAUCUUCUUGGAGCUCUCUGUCUCGUGGGGAUCAGCCUCCCACGUCUGCUCCAAUAUCGGCAGAUCUUUGCCCGGUUCUCCUUGGUCCAUCAUGAAACUGACGAAUACUAGGAGACCACUGAAAGGAAAACACAAUCGCAAUGACAAUGAAACAAAAAAGAGUGAGGAUCGAUUACUGCUUUGCAAAAGUUCUUUUUUUUCUCUGAACGAAAAUAUACCAACAUCACAGAUCUGCUUACCUUCCCUUUGUUGGGAGAGAAGAAGAGUGGCAGAUGUGAGUGUUGGCUUUCUUGAAGACGGUGAGGGAGAAGGGGAUUCAGCGAAGAGUGAAAUGAUGGUUUCUUCGUCCGUCAAACUUAGACUGCGGGGAGGUGGGGUUUUGUGAUACGAAUGCUCGUUAUUGCCACGCUACGACCGGGGUGACUCUCCGCCUGCAUACUGCCUUCUAAUUUGGUGAAUGGCAUUUGGGCCCGCGCGCUGCAUGGCCCGCAUGUCGGUGAACAAAAGUAUAACGGCAUUCAGUAGAGGGAGACGUUUCGAUGACCUAGGAGGAGCCAGAAGCGGUAUUGUAUCCACUGUACUAGUAGUAAUUGUUUUUCUGGGUAGCUGUAGGGUGUCUCCACUGUACUAGUAGUAAUUGUUUCUCUGGGCCCAAGACAAAACAUCCCAUCCACCCUAGUAAAUAGUAAAAUUAAUUCAAAAGUCCAUAUAUUUACUGAAUGGGAGGCGCUACCCACACCCAGCACACCGCCCCCAAAAAACCUGGGGGUUCUUCUUCUUCCUCACUCCCACCCACCUCACGUCAGCUCACUCCACUCGUACCCCCAAAUUCCUCACCUCACUCCUACAGAAAACCCAAGCUCCCCUUCUUCCUCACUACUACAGAAAAACCCCAGCUCCCCUUCUUCUUCACUCGCACUACAACUAGGCUCGUCAUUCGUUACUCUGCUCAAAUCCGUGAGCGCGACGCAACGCCCUCGAGGAAAAUGGAGUCGGCUGACCCCAGCGCCAAGAAGAUGAGGCUCCCACCAGCGGUGACGCCUUGUAUACAUCCUGCACCCGGCAGUGCGGGGAGAAGCGGCGACCCCGCCCCCACCGGAUCCCAGGAACCCGUAGAAUCUCGGGUGGACCGCAUCAGCGAUCUCCCGGACGCCGUCCUUGGGGAGAUCAUCUCGCUUCUCCCCACCAAGGAUUGCUGCCGCACCCAAGUCCUCUCAAUUCGGUGGCGCCCUCUAUGGCGCGCCGUGCCCCUUAAUAUCGAAUGUCCUCAGCUAUCUCUCUUCAAUGAUUUUUAAAUCCCCAGAGCCAUCAUCUCCUCCCACCAGGGCUCCGUUCAAAGCCUCUGCAUCCCGUCAUGCUAUAUGAGCAAGCAUGCCAUGCCCUGCAUGGUGGACGCGUGGCUGAAAUCCCCUGAAUUCACAGAACUACAGCUGCUUGAGUUCUACUAUUCCCCUGGAAAUCACCUACCAGAUACUGAACGCCAUCUAUCUGUGCCCUCAGCACCGAUGUCCAUCUCGCGGUUUUCCUCCUCUCUCCACACCGCCACCUUUGCGCUGUGCGACCUACCAGACAAUCUGGUACUAAACCUUCGACUCCCAUUUCUUAAGAAACUUUCACUUGUGCGGGUUCGUAUAUCGGAGGCCUCAUUGCACAACAUCAUCCACUCCAGUUGCCCUGCCCUGGAGUGCUUGGUGCUUGUUUUCACAGUUAGAAUCGGUUGUCUCCAAAUAAAGUCGCCUAACCUUGUAAGAAUUGGAAUUUGUUUUGACGGAAGGCAGCUCAUCAUCCAAGAUGCCCCUUCACUUCAAAGGUUGAUCCUUGAUUCUAUUUAUUCACCGUUGCAAAUAACCGUCCUCUCUGCGCCUAAACUGGAGACCUUGGGUGUAAUACAUGAUCUCUUUGCUCAUUUCAAUAUGGUGUUUGGCUCCAUAGUUCUUCAGGUACUUUACAUUAUCAUCUACACUUGUAACCAUAAGCUGCAUUUUAAAUUUCUGCGCAUAAGUUAUAUGUCAUCUUGGAGUACACAUUUUGUACUAAUAUUAUGUUCUAUGCUCAAUGAAGAGUUUCUCCAUGGAUGGCCUAUCAAUGGUGAUGGAUUCUGUCAAGAUCUUAUAUAUCCAGAUGAAUAGUUAUGAUCUGAACAAGAUUACUGGCUUGCUGCAAUGCUUUCCAUGUCUGGAGAAGUUUUAUAUAAAGGUGAUAAUUUCACGCACAUUGGAAGCCCGCAUAUAGUGUACUAGAAUUAACCGUUCAGCUGUUGCUCUUUCGACACUCUGUUUUUAGACCUUAACUGUUUUCAAUCUUCAUGUCUAUUUAGGCAACAGGACGGGGUAAGAAAGUUAUAACCAAUCGGUGGAUUCGUAAGCAUCGGGAUUUUCUCACUUCUCAUGAGAUUCGAUUGAAGACAAUAACGCUAGAACAAUAUGUAGCCAACCGUGCAAACACUAGAUUUGUCACAUUCUUCCUGCUGAAUUCGAGGUUACUAUUGUCCAUCAGGCUUAAGUUUAUCAGCAGCAUGGUUUUGACGGAUGGGUAUGUGGAAGAGCAAAAAAAGGAGUUUCAGGUGGGCAAAAGAGCUUUUGAACGUGUCGGGCUUCUAUUUACAACAUAUUGUGGUCAUAAUCCAGUAAUUUUUACGACCCAGGAUGUUCAUUCUAUGGACCUGACCGAUCCAUUUGACUGUGACUGCCAAAAACAGUGGUGGAGUUAGAUGUUGUUGCCCUUUUCAACCUGGGUUUUUUUGUAAACCUGAUGAACAAUUAACCCUCAUGCUUUUGUAUAGUUUGUAAGCUGGAGUUAGAUGUUCUUGCCCUUUUCAACUCGGCUGUGACUGUCAUAUUUUCUUUGAAGCAAGGAAAAUGGCUUGCCAGUCGUUUAAUUUAGAGUGAAAUAUUGUAACAACUAACAAAUCCCAACCAAGGGAAAUAACAUCACUCUCGCCGGUUGCUUGAGCUCACUGUGCAUUACAGAAGCCAAGUGAUUAGCCCCCACCAGCACCCACAAACUUAUUUCCAACUAGCACAUCAAAUGGGCUGUAAUUUUCGUAGGAAGGGCUGCAUGACCGUGACAGAUUUGGAUUCUGACAUUUGGGACCCGCGAGGAAAUAGCCUAUCCAAGGUGGUGUCGACUUACUAGCCAGUCAACAAACGAUUCUGCCUACCAGCCGUUGGAUUGACAUCCAACAUCUGUCGUGUGUCUUCUAUCUCUUGUCUUCUUCUUCCUCCAGCCACCCAAACCAAACCACCCCGUCGGCUCCGCCUGCUCCCGCCUCCCAUGGCUGGCUGCGCCUCCGCCGCCCUACCGUAUGUACCCUCCAACGUUGGCCAGUCCCUCCCUCUAUUCCCCCACACGUCAUGUUAUUCUCUGGCGACGUCAGCCCCAACACGCACCCGCACCCGAACCAGUCAACCCUCGUACUCCCCUCCGCCUGCGACUGGACCGGCGCAUCUUCCACGGCUCCUGUUCGUUCCAUCCGAGGCCUCGUCGUCGUCCUCCGCCUUGCGGCCUUGGUUCGCUCGCCGUGCGCGGUGCGCCGCCCUCUUGUGUUGUCAACGUCGUCAACAACCAAGAGGAACAAGGAGAUGGCUGUACGUGGAGAGGAUGACAGUAGGGACCCACCAGCGUCAUGGCGGUACGCAAGCAAGUGCCUCUAUAUUACAAGCCCAAAAAUAUGGUUCCUCCUAAUAGUUGGACAUCUGGGGCUCACGCCAUUGUCAACAUAGUCAAUAAACGAGAGAAUUACACUACGAGCGGCUGACACCAGGGACCCAGCAGGUCGCGCGGUUUUUUUAGGAACAAGCAGUUGUUAUUUAUACUAGUUUUAGCGAUGGAGUAGGGUAACAACGGGGUUGUGCGGGGGCUGUGGCCCAUCUAGCCAGGGUUUUAUUUAUGUUUACCACAUCAUGAGCCCAGUUGUGUUUUUUUCUUGCUGAAAAUGGUUAGCCUAGUUCUAUUUUUUUAAGAAAUACCCAAACGAAGCCUACUUGCUUUAGCAGCCCUGCUGGGCUGCAAAUCUUUCAAGACGAGGAGAGUUUCAUUCGGUUUGCCCAGAAAUGGGCUGUACAUUUUUAAAACACAUCAAACCGGGAAUUAGUUUCAAUUUUUUUCAUUACAAGAUUUUAAAUUCCAUUGAUUUUUAUGCGUGGAAAAUUAUUUGGAUUUUAUAUUUAUAUAAAUUAUUUUUCAAAAUAGUUUGAAUGUGAAUCGAUAUUUCGGGAUUAAAAACAGUUGACCGCACCGAAAUAUGCAAAAAAUUCGUAUACUUUUUAACCGUGGCCACAAUAUGGGGUGUAAUGCUAACAAAAAGAAGAUGGGCUCCAAAAAAAUUCUUAAAAAUUAGCAAAUGGGUUGUACAUUAUUAGAAAUAAUGCACACGAGAGCAGUGACAAUUGGAUGUCCAUCCAACGGCUAUCGUGCUUUUUCAAUCUCUGCUUUUCCUGCUCCAGCCGCUCAAACAAGCGCCGGCUGCCUGCUCCCUCCUCCCGCGGCCGGCUAUGUUGCCGCGCAGGCCUCACCGCCCCACUGUACUCCCAUCGCUGGCCUAGCCAUCCCUCUACUCACCCACACCUACUGUUAUUCUCCGGGGAUGGCAGACGAACCAGUAAACCCUCGUACUCCUUCGCAUGGGAAACAACUGCCGAGUCUUCCCUGGCUCCGUGUCGUUCCCUUCCUAGGCCUCGUCGUCGUCCACCACCCUGGUGCUCUUGGCGCGGCCUGGUUAACGUGGUCAAUGAACGACAUCCAUCGGAAGUGGACUGUACGUGGAGAGGCUGACAACUGGGUCCACGGCCGCACGCAAGGAAAUGCCUCCUUAUUACGCGCAAAAUAAUGAUUCCUCCNNNNNNNNNNNNNNNNNNNNNNNNNNNNNNNNNNNNNNNNNNNNNNNNNNNNNNNNNNNNNNNNNNNNNNNNNNNNNNNNNNNNNNNNNNNNNNNNNNNNNNNNNNNNNNNNNNNNNNNNNNNNNNNNNNNNNNNNNNNNNNNNNNNNNNNNNNNNNNNNNNNNNNNNNNNNNNNNNNNNNNNNNNNNNNNNNNNNNNNNNNNNNNNNNNNNNNNNNNNNNNNNNNNNNNNNNNNNNNNNNNNNNNNNNNNNNNNNNNNNNNNNNNNNNNNNNNNNNNGACCCACCAUCUAUAUCUUCGCACGCUAGGAAGUGCCUCCUUAUGACGCACAAAAAGAUGAAUACCCCCUGCUAGCUGGGACCCACCAUAGUGGGUGGCUGACUUGUGGUCCUACUAAGUUGACGGGGACAGAGGGCUUUGUCAACUUAGUCAAUAUGAACGAUUCUAGCUCCAAUGACCGUACGAUGUCCAUCCAACGGCCAUAGUGCUUCUUCAACCUCUGGUCUUCUUGCUCCAGCCGGCCAAAGCAGCGCCGGUCGUGCCGCCUGCUCCUGCCUCCCGUGGCCGGCUGUGCUGCCGCGGAGGCCUCACCGCCCCCAUACUACUCCCACCGCUGGCCAGGCCAUCCCUCCACUCACCCACACCCCCUGUUAUUCUGCGUCGACGGCAGCCUCACACCGCAGCCGAACCAGUGAACCCUUGUACUCCUCUCCGCGUGGGCAUCCACUGCCACGUCUUCCCCGGCUCCGCGUCGUCCCCUUCCUAGGCCUCACCGUCGUCCACCGCCUUGGUUCUCUCGGCGCGGCGUGGUCAAUGUGGUCAACGACCGACUUCCAUCGGAAGAGUACUGUACGUGGAGAGCCUGGCAGCUGGGUCCACGGCCACAGCCCAGUUUUUUUGUGAUUUGCCAAGUAAGUCGCUUUGUCAGGCCUGUUGGGCUGCAGAUCUUUCAAGACGAGGAGAGCUUCAUUCGGCUGGCCGAGAAAAUGGCCUAUCAGUAAUGAGAAAUGGGAUGUACAUUUUUAAAACACAUCAAACCGGCAAUUAGUUUCAAAUUUCUUUUUUCAUUUCGAGAUUUUAAAUUGCAUUGAUUUUUAUGCGUGGACAAUUUGUUGGAUUUUACAUUGAUAUACAUUUAUUUUUAAAAUCAGUUUCAAUGUGACUCGAAAUUUUGGGAUUAAAAACAGUUCGGACCGCACCGAAAUAUGCAAAAUUUCGUAUAGUUUUUUAACCGUGGCCACAAUAUGGGUUGUAAUGCUAACAAAAAGAAUAUGGGCUCCAAAAAAACCUUAAGAAUUAGCAAAUGGGCUGUAAAUUAUUAGAAAUAAUGGCAGAUGGGUUGUAUGAUGUUUUCCACAGAUUUGAGGCUUUCCUAAAAAAAGGUUGACGCAGAAGCAGUGACUGUUGGAUGUCCAUCCAAGGGCCGUCGUGCUUCUUCAAUCUCUGCUCUUCCUGCUCCAGCCGCUCAAACAAGCGCCGGCGGGACUACCUGCUCUCUCCUCCCCGCGGCCGGCUGUGCUGCCGUGCAGGCCUCACCGCCCCACCAUACUCCCAUCGCUGGCCUAGCCAUCCCUCUACUCACCCACACCUACUGUUAUUCUCCGGCGACGGCAGACGAACCAGUAAACCCUCGUACAGUCGUACUCCCCUCCGCGUGGGAAACAACUGCCGAGUCUUCCCUGCCUCCGUGUUGUUCCCUUCCUAGGCCUCACCGUCGUCCACUGCCCUGGUGCUCUCGGUGCGGCCUGGUCAACGUGGUCAACGACCAACAUGCAUCUGAAGUGGACUGUACGUGGAGAGGCUGACAGCUGGGUCCACGGCCGCACGCAAGGAAAUGCCUCCUUAUUACGCGCAAAAUAAUGAUUCCUCCACCUGACAUCUGGGACCCACCAAAAGGGCCUCUGUAUUUCGCGAAAAAAACGUUACCGCCGCUGAUAGCUCGGACCCACCAGCUAUAUCUUCGCACGCAAGGAAGUGCCUCCUUAUUAUGCACAAAAAAUGAAUAUUCCCCCUGUUAGCUGGGACCCAGUAUAGUGGCAAGCUAACUUGUGGGCCUACUAAGUUGACGGGGACGGAGGGCUUUGUCAACUUAGUCAAUAUGCACGAUUCUAGCUUUAGUGACCGUACGAUGUCCAUCCAACGGCCGUAGUUCUUCUUCAAGCUCUGGUCUUCUUGCUCCAGCCGCCCAAACCAGCGCCGGUCGUGCCGCGUGCUCCUGCCUCCCAUGGCCGGCUGUGCUGCCGCGGAGGCCUCACCGCCCCUACUACUCCCACCGUUGGCCAGGCCAUCCCUCCACUCACCCACACCCCCUGUUAUUCUGCGGCGACGGCAGCCUCACACCGCAGCCGAACCAGUGAACCCUCGUACUCCUCUCCGCGCGGGCUUCCACUGCCGUGUCUUCCCCGGCUCCGCAUCGUCCCCUUCCUAGGCCUCGUCGUCGUCCACCGCCCUGGUGCUCUCGGCGCGGCGUGGUCAACGUGGUCAAGGAACAGCUUCCAUCGAACGUGGACUGUAUGUGGAGAGGCUGACAGCUGGGUCCACGGCCGCAGCAAGGAAGUGCCUCCUUAUUACGCGCAAAAUAAUUAUUCCUCCACCUGACAGUGGGGACCCAUCGGACGGGCCACCGUAUUUCAUGAAAAAAUGUUUCCCCCUGACUGCUGGGACCCACCAGCUACAUCUUCGCAUGCAAGGAAGUGUGUCCAGGCAAAAAAAAUGAUUCACCCCCCUGACUGCUGGGACCCACCAGCUACAUCUUCGCAGGCAAGGAAGUGCGUGACAGUCGGGACCCACCUGGUCGAAGCGUACGUAGCGUUGUCAUUCUGGUCGCGAACAUGUACGUACAUACUGGUCGAUGUAGAGGCGCGCACGUGUCGUAGUAGAGGAGCGCACGUAGCAUGUACACGUACGUACAGCGGCCAGUGUGCAAGAAAGAAAAUACGGCCGCGUACGUACAUACGGGCAGGGUCUCGAAUGCCUACUCACGCAUACGUACGGCCAGGGCUCGUGUACAUGGCUGGGUCGGAACGGAGAAACUGCAUUGUCGUCGUGUUCAUGGGGAGGCAACGAAAUGCGUCGUGUUCAUCGGGAAGCAACGGAAAGCGUGGGAGCCAACCGGCUUGGACGGAACAGCCGAUGGAAACGAGGCCUGGCGUGCCGCAGAACGGAGGAAACGGCCUUGUGUUCGACCGGCCACGGUCGAAACAGGAUCCUGUUCAUCUGGAGGGGUCUGGCGUACCGCAAAACGGAGGAAACGGACCUCCUACGGUCGAAACGGGGCUCCUGUUGAUCGGGAGGGGUGUGGCGUACCGCAAAACGGAGGAAACGGACUUGUGUUGGAGCGCUAUGGUCGAAAUGGGGGUCUUGUUCAUCGGGAGGGGUGUGGCGUACCGCAAAACGGGACUCCACGGGAUACUGUUCAUCUCCACCGUCGACCCCCUCCAGCCUCCACGGGCUGCUGUUCAUCCACCGUCGACCUCCUCCUGCCUCCACCUGCGACUAUUCAUCCACGGGCUCCUGUUCAUCCAGACUCCACCGCGCGCUACUCCACCGGCUACUGUUCAACCACCCCUCUCCACGGGCUCAUGUUCAACCACCCCUCCACGGGCUACUGUUCAUCCAGCCCUCCAUCGUCUACUGUUCAUCCUGCCCUCCACGGGGUGGUCCUGUUCAUCCUGCCCUCCACGGGGUCCUGUUCAUCCUGCCCUCNNNNNNNNNNNNNNNNNNNNNNNNNNNNNNNNNNNNNNNNNNNNNNNNNNNNNNNNNNNNNNNNNNNNNNNNNNNNNNNNNNNNNNNNNNNNNNNNNNNNNNNNNNNNNNNNNNNNNNNNNNNNNNNNNNNNNNNNNNNNNNNNNNNNNNNNNNNNNNNNNNNNNNNNNNNNNNNNNNNNNNNNNNNNNNNNNNNNNNNNNNNNNNNNNNNNNNNNNNNNNNNNNNNNNNNNNNNNNNNNNNNNNNNNNNNNGCGCUACUCCACCGGCUACUGUUCAACCACCCCUCUCCACGGGCUCAUGUUCAACCACCCCUCCACGGGCUACUAUUCAUCUAGCCCUCCACCGUCUACUGUUCAUCCUGCCCUCCACGGGGUGGUCUUGUUCAUCCAGCCCUACACGGGGUCAUGUUCAUCCAGCCCCAACCGGCUCGAUUGAUCGGGGUCCUCUUCAUCCAGAUGCAACACCACGGGGUCGUGUUCAUCCACCCCCACCGGGAACUGUUCAUCCAAACCCCCCAGCAACGCUCACUGUUCAUCCAGAGGCAACACCACGGGGUCCUGUUCAUCCACCCCCACCGGGAACUGUUCAUCCAAACCCCCCCAGCAACGCUCACUUUUCAUCCAGAGGCAACAUCGAUCGGCUUCAGUUAGCAGCAGUAGCGAAGGAAUCGCUCAAUCGGGUUCAGUUAACAGCCAUCGAUCGAUCGCUCGGGUUCAGUAACGCGUAGCCUGCAGUGCAAUCGCUCGGGUUCAGUUAGGGCCCAACGCCUCGCUCGGGUUCAGUUAGAGCCCAACGCCUCGCACCCACGCGCGUGCGUGUACGAGAGAAACGCGCAUCGCUCGGCCCCGACCACCCAUCGUAACUGGGAACACCCCGAUAUUUUCCUCGUCCUCGCUUCUACCACGGUUUUUUCCAUCAUGGACGGCCCAAAGAAUGUCAUGCGGCUGCGUCUCCGGCCCGCCCAGGACGAAAAGCCCAUUUUCUGUCAUGAUUUUUUGUCAUAGAAGUAGGACCCCACCACAUCUAUGAUGAUACCGAGUUUUGUCACAAUUAUCGUCAUAGAAGUGUCAUAAGUAUGACAGAAAAAAUUCAUUCGGCCCAAAAUGUCACGGAUGUGUCUUUUUUUGUAGUGCAUGUGUGUCUCUCCAAGAGGUGUGUACAGCAAGGAUGAUUGUGGUAAACUAAAAAGCAAAGACUCAAAUCAUACAAGACGCUCCAAGCAAAACACAUAUCAUGUGGUGAAUAAAAAUAUAGCCUCAAGUAAAGUUACCGAUAGAUGAAGAUGAAAGAGGGGAUGCCUUCCGGGGCAUCCCCAAGCUUAGGCUUUUGGUUGUCCUUGAAUUUUACCUUGGGGUGCCUUGGGCAUCCCCAAGCUUAGGCUCUUGCCACUCCUUAUUCCAAAAUCCAUCAAAUCUUUACCCAAAACUUGAAAACUUCACAACACAAAACUCAACAGAAGAUCUCAUGAGCUCCGUUAGUAUAAGAAAACAAAUCACCACUUUAAGGUACUGUAAUGAACUGCUACCUCUUGAGCACUGCAUUGGUUUUCCCUUGAAGAGGAAAGGGUGAUGCAGCAAAGUAGCGUAAGUAUUUCCCUCAGUUUUUGAGAACCAAGGUAUCAAUCCAGUAGGAGGCCACGUACGAGUCCCUCGCACCUACACAAACAAAUAAAUCCUCGCAACCAACGCAAUAAAGGGGUUGUCAAUCCCUUCACGGUCACUUACGAGAGUGAGAUCUGAUAGAUAUGAUAUGAUAAUAUUUUUGGUAUUUUUAUGAUAAAGAUGCAAAGUAAAGAAAACAAAAUAAAAACGGCGCCAGAAAUAGCUUGUUGUCGGGAGAUUAAUAUGAUGGAAAAUAGACCCGGGGGGCAUAGGUUUCACUAGUGGCUUCUCUCAAGAGCAUAAGUAUUACGGUGGGUGAACAAAUUACUGUUGAGCAAUUGACAGAAUUGAGCAUAGUUGUGAGAAUAUCUAGGUAUGAUCAUGUAUAUAGGCAUCACGUCCGAGACAAGUAGACCGACUCCUGCCUGCAUCUACUACUAUUACUCCACACAUCGACCGCUAUCCAGCAUGCAUCUAGAGUAUUAAGUUCAUAAGAACAGAGUAACGCUUUAAGCAAGAUGACAUGAUGUAGAGGGAUAAACUCUUGCAAUAUGAUAUAAACCCCAUCUUGUUAUCCUCGAUGGCAACAAUACAAUACGUGCCUUGCUGCCCCUACUGUCACUGGGAAAGGACACCGCAAGAUUGAACCCAAAGCUAAGCACUUCUCCCAUUGCAAGAAAGAUCAAUCUAGUAGGCCAAACCAAACUGAUAAUUCGAAGAGACUUGCAAAGAUAACCAAUCAUACAUAAAAGAAUUCAGAGAAGAUUUGAAUAUUGUUCAUAGAUAAACUUGAUCAUAAACCCACAAUUCAUCGGUCUCAACAAACACACCGCAAAAGAAGAUUACAUCGAAUAGGUCUCCACGAGAGAGGGGGAGAACAUUGUAUUGAGAUCCAAAAAGAGAGAAGAAGCCAUCUAGCUAAUAACUAUGGACCCGAAGGUCUGAGGUAAACUACUCACACAUCAUUGGAGAGGCUAUGGUGUUGAUGUAGAAGCCCUCCGUGAUCGAUGCCCCCUCCGGCGGAGCUCCGAAAAAGGCCCCAAGAUGGGAUCUCUCGGCUAUAGAAGGUUGCGGCGGUGGAAUUAGGUUUUUUGCUCCGUAUCUGGUAGUUUGGGGGUACGUAGGUAUAUAUAGGAGGAAGGAGUACGUCGGUGGAGCAACAUGGGGCCCACGAGGGUGGAGGCCGCGCCCUGGGGGGGCGCGCCCCCCUACCUCGUACCUUCCUGGUUGAUGUCUUGACAUAGGGUCCAAGUCCUCUGGAUCAUGUUCGUUCCGAAAAUCACGUUCCCGAAGGUUUCAUUCCGUUUGGACUCCGUUUGAUAUUCUUUUUCUGCGAAACUCUGAAAUAGGCAAAAACAGCAAUUCUGGGCUGGGCCUCCGGUUAAUAGGUUAGUCCCAAAAAUAAUAUAAAAGUGUAUAAUAAAGCCCAAUAAUGUCCAGAACAUAAUAUAAUAUAGCAUGGAACAAUCAAAAAUUAUAGAUACGUUGGAGACGUAUCAAGCAUCCCCAAGCUUAAUUCAUGCUCGUCCUCGAGGAGGUAAAUGAUAAAAACAGAAUUUUUGAUGUGGAAUGCUACUUGGCAUAAUUUCAAUGUAAUUCUUCUUAAUUGUGGUAUGAAUAUUCAGAUCCGAAAGAUUCAAGAUAAAAGUUCAAUAUUGACAUAAAAAUAAUAAUACUUCAAGCAUACUAACUAAGCAAUUAUGUCCUCUCAAAAUAACAUGGCCAAAGAAAGUUCAUCCCUACAAAAUCAUAUAGUUUAGUCAUGCUCCAUUUUCAUCAAACAAGAAUGCUCUCAUCAUGCACAGCCUCGAUGACAAGCCAAGCAAUUGUUUCAUACUUUAGUAAUCUCAAACUUUUUCAACCUUCACGCAAUACAUGAGCGUGAGCCAUGGAUAUAGCACUAUGGGUGGAAUAGAAUAUAAUGAUGGGGGUUAUGUGGAGAAGACAAAAAAGGAGAAAGUCUCACAUCAAUGAAGCUAAUCAAUGAGCUAUGGAGAUGCCCAUCGAUUGAUGUUAAUGCAAGGAGUAGGGAUUGCCAUGCAACAGAUGCACUAGAGCUAUAAAUAUAUGAAAGCUCAACAAAAGAAACUAAGUGGGUGUGCAUCCAACUUGCUUGCUCACGAAGACCUAGGGCACUUGAAGAAGCCCAUUGUUGGAAUAUACAAGCCAAGUUCUAUAAUGAAAAAUUCCCACUAGUAUAUGAAAGUGACAAAACAAGAGACUCUCUAUCAUGAAGAUUAUGGUGCUACUUUAAAGCACAAGUGUGGUAAAAAGGAUAGUAACAUUGUCCCUUCUCUCUUUUUCUCUCAUUUAAUUUUUUUGGGCCUUCUUCUUUUUUUAUGGCCUUUCUCUUUUUUUCCUCACUUGGGACAAUGCUCUAGAAAAUGAUGAUCAUCACACUUCUAUUUAUUUACAACUCAAUGAUUACAACUCGAUACUAGAAUUAAGUAUGACUCUAUAUGAAUGCCUCCAGCGGUGUACCGGGAUAUGCAAUGAACCAAGAGUGACAUGUAUGAAAGAAUUAUGAAUGGUGGCUUUGCCACAAAUACUAUGUCAACUACAUGAUCAUGCAAAGCAAUAUGACAUGGUGAACGUGUCAUGAUAAACGGAACGGUGGAAAGUUGCAUGGAAAUAUAUCUCGGAAUGGCUAUGGAAAUGCCAUAAUAGGUAGGUAUGGUGGCUGUUUUGAGGAAGAUAUAAGGAGGUUUAUGUGUGAAAGAGCGUAUCAUAUCAUGGGGUUUGGAUGCACCGGCGAAGUUUGCACCAACUCUCAAUGUGAGAAAGGGUAAUGCACGGUACCGAAGAGGCUAGCAAUGAUGGAAAGGUGAGAGUGCGUAUAAUCCAUGGAGUCAACAUUAGUCAUAAAGAACACACAUACUUAUUGCAAAAAUAUACAAGUCAUCAAAAACCAAGCACUACGCGCAUGCUCCUAGGGGAUAGAUUUGUAGGCAAAGACCAUCGCUCGUCCCCGACCGCCACUCAUAAGGAGGACAAUCAAAGAACACCUCAUGUUUCAAAUUUGUUACAUAACGUUUACCAUACGUGCAUGCUACGGGACUUGCAAACUUCAACACAAGUAUUUCUCAAAUUCACAACUACUCAACUAGCACAACUUUGAUAUCACUACCUCCAUAUCUCAAAACAAUCAUCAAGCAUCAAACUUCUCUUAGUAUUCAACACACUCAUAAGAAAGUUUUUACUAGUCUUGAAUACCUAGCAUAUUAGGAUCAUUUAAGCAAAUUACCAUGCUGUUUAAGACUCUCAAAAUAAUCUAAGUGAAGCAUGAGAUAAUAAUAGUUUCUAUAAAACAAAAGUUACCACCGUGCUCUAAAAGAUAUAAGUGAAGUACUAGAGCAAAAACUAUAUAACUCAAAAGAUAUAAGUGAAGCACAUAGAGUAUUCUAAUAAUUUCUGAGUCAUGUGUGUCUCUCUCAAAAUGUGUGUACAGCAAGGAUGAUUGUGGUAAACUAAAAAAGCAAAGACUCAAAUCAUACAAGACGCUCCAAGCAAAACACAUAUCAUGUGGUGAAUAAAAAUAUAGCUCCAAGUAAAGUUACCAAUGGAAGUAGACGAAAGAGGGGAUGCCUUCCGGGGCAUCCCCAAGCUUUGGCUUUUAGGUGUCCUUAGAUUAUCUUGGGGUGCCAUGGGAAUCCCCAAGCUUCGGCUCUUUCCACUCCUUGUUCCAUAAUCCAUCAAAUCUUUUACCCAAAACUUGAAAACUUCACAACACAAAACUUAACAGAAAAUCUCGUGAGCUCCGUUAGCGAAAGAAAACAAAACACCACUUCAAGGUACUGUAAUGAACUCAUUCUUUAUUUAUAUUGGUGUUAAACCUACUGUAUUCCAACUUCUCUAUGGUUUAUAAACUAUUUUACUAGCCAUAGAUUCAUCAAAAUAAGCAAACAACACACGAAAAACAGAAUCUGUCAAAAAAGGAACAGUCUGUAGUAAUCUGUAACUAACGCAAACUUCUGGAACUCCAAAAAUUCAGCCAAAAUAGGACGACCUAGACAAUUUGUUUAUUGAUCAUUAGCAAUUGGAAUCAAUAUUUUAUCACAUUCUGGUGAUUUUUAACAAUUAGUUUCGUGAACAGAAAGUUUCUGGAAUUUUCAGCAAGAUCAAAUAACUAUCAUCCAAGAAGAUCCUAUAGGUUAAACUUGGCACAAACACUAAUUAAAACAUAAAAACACAUCUAACCAAAGGCUAGAUCAAAUAUUUAUUCCUAAACAGAAGCAAAAAACUAAAAACUAAAAAUAAAAUUGGGUUGCCUCCCAACAAGCGCUAUCGUUUAACGCCCCUAGCUAGGCAUUGAGAUUUCGAUGAUGCUCACAUGAAAGACAAGAAUUGAAGCGCAAAGAGAGCAUCAUGAAACACGUGACAAACACAUCUAAGUCUAACAUACUUCCUAUGCAUAGGCAUCUUAUAGGCAAACAAAUUAUCAUAGCAACCAAAAACUAGCAUAUGCAAGGAAGUGAAAAGAAACAAUAGCAAUCUCAACAUAACAAGAGGUAAUUUAUUAUCAUGAAAAUUUCUACAACCAUAUUUUCCUCUCUCAUAAUAAUUACAUGUAGGAUCAUAGGCAAAUUCAAAAAAAUAGCUAUCACAAUAAAUAUUUUCAACACGAUCCACAUGCAUGCAAAGUUGACACUCUUCCAAAAUAGUGGGAUUAACAUUAACUAAAGUCAUGACCUCUCCAAACCCACUUUUAUCAAAAAUACCAUAAGAUUGAACAUUCUCCAAAUAUGUGGGAACUAAAGUUGACACUCUUCCAAACCCACUUUCAAUAUUAUUGCAAAAAUUAUUAUCAAUCUCAUAUUCAGCAUGGGGCUUAAAUAAAUUUUCAAGAUCAAAAGAAGAAUCACCCCAAUCAUGAUCAUUGCAACAAGUAGUAGACAUAGCAAAACUAGCAUCCCCAAGCUUAGGGUUUUGCAUAUUAUUAGAACAAUUGACAUCAAUAGAAUUUAUAAUAAAAUCAUUGCAAUCAUGCUUUUUAUUCAAAGAUCUAUCGUGAAUCGCUUCAUAAAAUACUUCAUCACAAUUUUCAGAUUCACAAAUUUCAAGCAAAACCUCAUAAAGAUAAUCUAGUGCACUCAACUCACUAGCAACAGGUUCAUCAUAAUUGGAUCUCUUAAAGAGAUUAGCAAGUGGAUGAGGAUCCAUAAACUUUUAGCAAGCGAAGAUGCAAGCAAAAAGAAGGCACAUGGUAACACGAGCAAAUAGAAGGACGAACGGAAGAGAGAGGGCGAAUAAAACGGCAAGGGUGAAGUGGGCGAGAGGAAAACGAGAGGCAAAUGGCAAAUAAUGUAUUGCGAGGGAUAAGGGUUUGAGAUGGGUACUUGGUAUGUUGACUUUUGCGUAGACUCCCCGGGAACGGCGCCAGAAAUCCUUCUUGCUACCUAUUGAGCACUGCGUUGGUUUUUCCUUGAAGAGGAAAGGGUGAUGCAGCAUAGUAGCGUAAGUAUUUCCUCAGUUUUUGAGAACCAAGGUAUCAAUCCAGUAGGAGGCCAUGCACGAGUCCCUCGCACCUACACAAACAAAUAAAUCCUCGCAACCAACGCAAUAAAGGGGUUGUCAAUCCCUUCACGGUCACUUACGAGAGUGAGAUCUGAUAGAUAUGAUAAGAUAAUAUUUUUGUAUUUUUAUGAUAAAGAUGCAAAGUAAAGAAAACAAAAUAAAAAUGGCGCCAGAAAUAGCUUGUUGUUGGGAGAUUAAUAUGAUGGAAAAUAGACUCGGGGGCCAUAGGUUUCACUAGUGGCUUCUCUCAAGAGCAUAAGUAUUACGGUGGGUGAACAAAUUACUGUUGAGCAAUUGACAGAAUUGAGCAUAGUUAUGAGAAUAUCUAGGUAUGAUCAUGUAUAUAGGCAUCACGUCCGAGACAAGUAGACCGACUCCUGCCUGCAUCUACUACUAUUACUCCACACAUCGACCGCUAUCCAGCAUGCAUCUAAAGUAUUAAGUUCACAAGAACAGAGUAACGCUUUAAGCAAGAUGACAUGAUGUAGAGGGAUAAACUCAUGCAAUAUGAUAUAAACCCCAUCUUUUUAUCCUCGAUGACAACAAUACAAUACGUGCCUUGCUGCCCCUACUGUCACUGGGAAAGGACACUGCAAGAUUGAACCCAAAGCUAAGCACUUCUCCCAUUGCAAGAACGAUCAAUCUAGUACGCCAAACCAAACUGAUAAUUCGAAGAGACUUGCAAAGAUAACCAAUCAUACAUAAAAUAAUUCAGAGAAGAUUCAAAUAUUGUUCAUAGAUAAACUUGAUCAUAAACCCACAAUUCAUCGGUCUCAACAAACACACCGCAAAAGAAGAUUACAUCGAAUAGAUCUCCACGAGAGAGGGGGAGAACAUUGUAUUGAGAUCCAAAAAGAGUAAACUACUCACACAUCAUCGGAGAGGCUAUGGUGUUGAUGUAGAAGCCCUCCGUGAUUGAUGCCCCCUCCGGCGGAGCUCCGGAAAAGGCCCCAAGAUGGGAUCUCAUGGGUACAGAAGGUUGCGGCGGUGGAAUUAGGUUUUUGGGUCCGUAUCUGGUAGUUUGGGGGUACGUAGGUAUAUAUAGGAGGAAGGAGUACGUCGGUGGAGCAACGUGGGGCCCACGAGGGUGGAGGUGCGCGCCCUGGGGGGGUAGGCGCGCCCCCCUACCUCGUGCCUUCCUGGUUGAUGUCUUGACGUAGGGUCCAAGUCCUCUGGAUCACGUUCGAUCCGAAAAUCACGUUCCCGAAGGUUUCAUUCCGUUUGGACUCCGUUUGAUAUUAUUUUUCUGCGAAACUCUGAAAUAGGCAAAAACAGCAAUUCUGGGUUGGGCCUCCGGUUAAUAGGUUAGUCCCAAAAAUAAUAUAAAAGUGUAUAAUAAAGCCCAAUAAUGUCCAAAACAGAAUAUAAUAUAGCAUGGAACAAUAAAAAAUUAUAGAUACAUUGGAGACGUAUCAUGAACUCAUUCUUUAUUUAUAUUGGUGUUAAACCUACUGUAUUACAACUUCUCUAUGGUUCUUACCCCCCGAUACUAGCCAUAGAUUCAUCAAAAUAAGCAAACAACACACGGAAAAUAGAAUCUUACAAAAACAGAACAGUCUGUAGCAAUCUGCAUCAAACGUAUACUUCUGGAACUCCAAAAAUUCUGAAAUAAAUUGGUGGACGUGAGGAAUUUAUCUAUUAAUUAUCUGCAAAAAGAAUCAACCUAAAAGCACUAUCCAGUAAAAAAUGGCAGCUAAUCACGUGAGCGCUAAAGUUUCUGUUUUUUACAGCAAGAUCACAAAGACUUCACCCAAGUCUUCCCAAAGGUUCUACUUGGCACAAACACUAAUUAAGACACAAAACCACAUCUAAACAGAUGCUAGAUGAAUUAUUUAUUACUAAACAGGAACAGAAAUCAAGGAACAAAAAUAAAAUUGGUUUGCCUCCCAACAAGCGCUAUCGUUUAACGCCCCUAGCUAGGCAUUGAUAAUUUUAAUGAUGCUCACAUCAAAGACAAGAAUUGAAGCACAAAGAGAGCAUCACAAAACACGUGACAAACACAUGUAAUUAUAACAGAGUAACGCAUCGACCGCUAUCCAGCAUGCAUCUAGAGUAUUAAGUUCAUAAGAACAGAGUAACGCAUUAAGCAAGAUGACAUGAUGUAGAGGGAUAAACUCAAGCAAUACGAUAUAGACCCCAUCUUUUUAUCCUCGAUGGCAACAAUACAAUACGUGCCUUGCUGCCCAUGCUGUCACUGGGAAAGGACACCGCACGAUUGAACCCAAAGCUAAGCACUUCUCCCAUUGCAAGAAAGAUCAAUCUAGUAGGCCAAACCAAACUGAUAAUUCGAAGAGACUUGCAAAGAUAUUAAAUCAUGCAUAUAAGAAUUCAGAGAAGAAUCAAAUAUUGUUCAUAGAUAAUCUUGAGCAUAAACCCACAAUUCAUCGGAUCUCGACAAACACACCGCAAAAAGAAUUACAUCGAAUAGAUCUCCAAGAGAAUCGAGGAGAACUUUGUAUUGAGAUCCAAAGAGAGAGAAGAAGCCAUCUAGCUAAUAACUAUGGACCCGAAGGUUUGUGGCAAACUAAUCACACAUCAUCGGAGAGGCUAUGGUGUUGAUGUAGAAGCCCUCCAUGAUUGAUUCCCCCUCCGGCGGAGCACCGGAAAAGGUCCCAAGAUGGGAUCUCAUGGGUACAGAAGGUUGCGGCGGUGGAAAUAGGGUUUCGUGGUGCUCCUGGAUGUUUUCAGGGUAUACGAGUAUAUAUAUAGGCGAAAGAAGUAGGUCGGUGGAGCCACGAGGGGCCCACGAGGGUGGGGGCGCGCCUCCCUACCUCGUGGCCGCCUCGUUGCUUCCUUGACGUCCACUCCAAGUCUCCUGGAUUGUGUUUUUUCCAAAAACGAUCCUCGUGAAGGUUUCAUUCCGUUUGGUUUCCGUUUGAUAUUCCUUUUCUGUGAAACACUGAAAUAGGCAAAAAAAUAGCAAUUUGCAUUGGGCCUUCGGUUAAUAGGUUAGUCCCAAAAAUAAUAUAAAAGUGCAUAAUAAAGCCCAUUAAACAUCCGAAACAGAUAAUAUAAUAGCAUGGAACAAUAAAAAAUUAUUGAUACGUUCGAGACAUAUCACAAAACAUUAUUUUAAAUAACAUCAAACAAAUCCUAAGAAAAUAAAUUGACGCUCCAAGUAAACACAUAUCAUUUGACGAAUGAAAACAUAGCUCCAAGUGAGGUUACCGAUAAUGUUGGAGACGAAAGAGGGGAUGCCUUCCGGGGCAUCCCCAAGCUUAGUUGCUUGGAUCUUCCUUGAAUAUUAACUUGGGGUGCCUUGGGCGUCCCCGAGCUUAGGGUCUUGUCACUCCUUAUUCUCCCCAUAUUGGUAUCUCACCUAAAACUUGAAAACUUCAAUCACACAAAACUUGACGGAACUUUGUGAGAUAGGUUAGUAUGAUAAAGAGUAAACCAUUUCACUUUGGUACUGUCAAAGACAAGAUUCAUAAUUGUUUCCACACAAUGCCUAUCAUUUCCACAAUUUAUAUUGAGCAAUAUAAGCCAUAGAAACUAGCAAACAAGCAAACUAUGCACCGAAAACAGAAUCUGUCAAAAACAGAACAGUCUGUAAUGAUCUACAGAAUAACCAUACUUCUGCUACUCCAAAAAUUCUGAAAAAUUAGGACCACGUGAGGAAUUUGUAUAUUAAUCUUCUGAAAAAAAUAAUCAAAUCAAAAGCACUCUUCUGUUAAAAAUAAGAAUUAUUUUCGUGAGCACAUAAGUUUCUGUUUUUCAGCAAGAUCAACUCAACUAUCACCCAACAUGAUCCCAAAGGCUUUACUUGGCACUUUAUUGAAACAAAAUCAAUAAAACAUGAUUACUACAGUAGCCUAAUCAUGUGAACACAAAAAAAC
rnacentral:lncRNA from 1 species